rnacentral:lncRNA from 1 species
GUCGUCACCGAGGAUCCUUUGAUAUGCCCUCACACAAGGCACUUGCUGGUGUUUCAUCCAAAAACUUUUUAUUCCGUCCACCAGAGCUGUAACUAACUGCAAGCUUGUUUGGUUGCCCGAAUGGACCGGCAUGCCACUUUGUACCCACACUGGUGGACAUGUAGGAGUUGAACUGGUGGUGUCUUUUGACCUUAAGCUUAUUUGUAUAUGUAUCAAGUGUGUACUGAAAGUUACAUCUUUAGAACUGAUACGGCGUUGUCAUUCAUUAGCACAGUAUGUUUAGCCUUUUUUGUGGACCUGCGGCCGUCUACUUAUUUUUUGUGGAGUACCAUGUUAUGUCAGCAGUUAAUGACUUGCUGUGCUGUGUUGAAAGUGUUGCUGCUAUUUUUUACGAUGUGUUUAUGCUGAUACGAUUACAGUUUCAACUAAAUUGCAACCUGGCCUGGCCGAACGCAAUUGCAACCUGUGAAGAACUCUUAUUUCAUACGUAGAACUAAAUUAGUGUCUUGCCAAACCUUUGCCCAUGCUGAAAAAGAAGCGGUUAUUCAUCAGAACUUGUAAGCGGAAAAAAUGGGAAUUUGGAGGGAUUUUUGUAGGGUCCCCAACCUCAACCAAACAAAGCAAUGUUCGUUGUAAAUUUAUUUUCCAAUUAAAUCGUCUUGUUUUGCCGCAAAAUCAUUUAAAAGUGUGGCAGUACCCAACGUUUUAAGUGCAUAUAGGAGAAGCUUUGCAAACCAAUGAGCACAAAGCAUGUGGAGGUAAACAAGAAACCACUAAUUUCUGCGUGUGAUUUUUGUUGCUAUUUCUAUUAUAUUUCACAGUUCAGCUGGAGGACAUGUAUAAGAAAAUAAGAGGGGGUGGUGUUAAUUUAUGGUUCUUUGAUGCGGCCAUGCGGGAAUGGGAAAAGUCGAAGAAGAGGGAAUGUGCGCGGAAACUUGAAAUGGUGCCCGAGCGUGGAACUACCUAUAGGUACUAGUCGAAAAAACUGCGUAAUAUUAGUUGAUUUUUUUUUGGAAUAAUAACAAUACAUUGGUAUCGGUAAAUUCAAAACAAUUGUAUAUCAAUGCUUAAUGACCGCGAAGAUGGUUUCUUGUAUAAGAGACGAUCUGAUCAUCUCUUCUCAUUAAUUAUGUGCUACGUAGACAAAGUUCUAAUAUGGCAUAUGCUAAGAGACGGCGGCAAAAAUCUGUAAAUGAGAACUACUUUAAAUACAACACUUAAAAUACAAUACAUCAAGAUGGCUGCCUUCAACAAUCUGUAAUCUCCUAGGAGAGCAUGUUAAGAGACAAUGCAUUGGGACAUUUGUGUUGGCGAUCUUCCCCUAUUGAUAAUAAUAUUGUAUAGUAGGUUAUAGUCGAAGAAAAAGAGAUCACACAAUCAUGUCCAUUACUACUUAAGAUUGGGGUAGGCCCACCAGACGAUCGAGAAUUUUAUUUGAGACCAUUUCCAUAAUUAUUUCACAGGACCAAAGGCCCCACACAUCAUACACAAUGUACUGCCACCAUCAAGCACAUGUCAUACACAAAAAUAUCAUGGGACCGGUUCUCAUUUGCAACUUUGUUCCUAUACACCGUCGGAGGGGAAAUUCAUCGCCUUCUUCAUCAACAUCGAUCAUCGCUGCUCCAGUAUGAGUUGUGAGUAGACCACCCCCCGGGCUAUGGAUACAUGGGAGUAGCCAAUAUGUAAUGGCCACUUGAUUCGACUAUCAUGAUUGUGGUCCAUAUGAUGAGUACUUUGCGACGAUGUUCAUCAUGUGAUGAAUUAUUCCUUUAUGUUUAGAUCGCGUGAAGCUUAUGUUUGGUUUAUAGGUGCAUAUUUCUCUUUGAUUAUUUAUCUUGUCUUGGUCAAUUUAGAUGUGUAAUCGGUAGAGGGAGCGGUGUGCAUUGGUUGUGUGUAACCUUGCAAGUGUUAUUGACGAUGAGGACAAUGGUAUACUAAACUUGUUUGUCCCGGGAUGAGCCAGAGGCUUAGUGGAAUAUUAUUCAAGUGUAUGUCAUCUUGCUCAAAGCAAUUAUAUGUCAUCAUUGCUUAUACCCGAAUGAUCUAGAGGUCAACAACACAUCUUACAUAUAUGUAUGGAGGGUCUCGAUCUAUGGAUUUAUGGACACACUACCUAUAUAAUAUCAACAACACAUCUUACAUAAUUUGCAUAAGCACGGAAUAUUUCAUCUUUCACAUGUCUAUGUUAUUACUACACUUUAUCUCAUGGAGAAUUACUAUUGGUGAAACUAUGAACCUUGGUCUAGUUUUUAUUAUAAGAAAACACCUCUAGCAACUUUCACUUUUAUUUCCGGUUAUUGUUUAUUCCAAAAAUUCAAAUUUACCUGUUAAAUUAUCUUUUAGUAUCUUGUACAAUUGCAAAGCGUGUAAGGUUGACACCCUUGCUAGAGUUGUUGGUGGCACAAGUGAAGUUUUACUAGCUUAUCAUUGGUGAUAUCCUCUAUGAAUUUAUACCUUGGUUCUCAACCGAAGAAACUUGCUACUUGCUACAAACUCCUGCACUUGAGGGCUCAACUACCUUACAUCCUAGUAGACCUAGUGUAAGCUUCAACCUCCAAUGCCACCGGGGAGGAUAGUGAGUGUGCUUGAGAGAGAGAACACGCGAGAGGGUGGAAUUUGGUGAGAAGGUGGCAUCGAGACUGAUAAACGAUCGAUCAUCAAGGCGAGAUAUGAUCUUUGCUUGCAUCCUGAUCUUUCACGCACUCCACUUUUAGCAGUAGUAACCCCUCAUCCAUGGUCACGACGUAUGUGAAGUAGAGGGUUUAAACCUUGCGGUUCAACACGAGAGAACCAACCUAGACGACGACAACUCAAUUAAGCGCAACAUAGGAAUUUUUAGACACCAAUCUUCAGAACUUGAUAUGAGUGUCUACAGUAAGAAACACACUGUGUUCAUUAUAAAUAACAAAACCUACAACUGAUAUACUUGUGGGCCCCAUCCGAUGUCCUUGAUAGCAUGUCACGUAUAUGUACACCUUGCCAUGCACGUUCCUUGCACGGUAGAAUCAGAAAUAGAAAUCCGAUUGUGAUCUCCUGCCUUUUAAUCUGGCGUAUUAUUCUUGUAUCUGUGUAGCAGCCAUGGACGGUUUAUACCCAACAUCUAGCUUUCUUAAUAUUUUCCAAAUGAUAACCAACCUCUGAUUGAGAUGGUUAGGUGGACAGUGGUAUCCCCAACCCACCCCUGGUGCUCGCAUUUAUCCUGGAUUUAUUUCAGGAAUUCCGGCGAUACGCUUUCAGUGGGAGGAGACGUUCCCGUCGACUACGAGGCGCCUACGGUGAAUUCGUAAAAUCUCAAGAUGAUAUGCCAGCUCAGUCUCUCGGAGGUGCUCAUAGGGGUAGGGUGCACGUGUAUAUGAGCGCUUAUAUCUGUACUGAUGCUCAAAAAAAAAAUGAUAAGUGCCAUAUGUGCAACACGAAGCACUCCGGUCCUGACGUUUUUUACAGCUAAAGUUGCCACCCGAAAAGAAAAAACAAACCUAAAAAAUAAAACUGAAACUUGCCAUCCGAAAAGAAGUUGUCAUGCUUGACAACUAAAGCUGCCAUUCUUGCGUCACUAAAGUUGCCAUAAAAACUGUUUGGAGUUUACAUAUAUUCGUGCCACAUGUGUGACAUUUAUUAGGGUCCUAAUAUUUUCUUGUCAAACAGACUGAUAUGGACAUUAUUAGUAUGGUACGUUACAUGCAUCGUCACUAGUAUUUUUUAACCAUGCGUGCAUACGCUCAUAGCCAUUAUUGGCUUCUCUGAAUUAGUUUGCUAUGAAUUUUUCUUUAACCUGAACAGACUUCAUCUCAUGUACUGUAGUUGCAUGGUAGCAACAAAUGCCUCAACGUUUUUAUUAUCAAUUUUUGUCGUGGCCAUAUCAGAGGCUCGCCACAACCAGUGUUGGGGAGAUGCGGGUUGUUGGAGUAAUGGGGGCUACCCCCUAGUGCCAUAUCACUAACUUAGGUCUCUUUUGGUUCAUAGGAUAGGAUUAUCAUAGGAAUAGGAAUCUUGUAGGAAGUGAGAUAAUAUGUAUCUCAAAUCCUAUGAGUAGGAGUAGGAAAUAAGAUGUCAUUUGGUUGAUACCAAAGGAAUUUUUCCAUUGAGUCUAGGCUCUUUUUUAUUUUUCUAUGAAAUGUGGAGGAUAGGAACCAAUCCUAUGUAGGAAUAGGAAUCCAUUCCUAUGAACCAAAGGGCUCUAAAGGAAAAAAUCCUAUAAAAAUCCUAUCCUCUAGAAUUCCUAUGAAAUUCCUCUAAACCAAAGGAGGCCUAAGGUGUUGUUCUACCAUGGGUAAUGUGAUCCACCAUUCUAUCUAUUUUGUUGGUGUUGUGUUAUAAUGUAUUUUUGGUACAAAUAUGCAACUACAUCAAGUUUUAGUUAGUGAAAUUAACCAUAUGUCCGCGUUUCAUGGUUGUGCAUACUUUUCAUAAUGGAUUGUUUUCCUUCUUACUGCAAUUGUACACAACCUUGCUAUAUUUAACCGUCUUACUAUAAUUCGUUCGUGGACAGGGGGGACUAGUCCGUGGAUAUGGAUGCGGGAGGCAGCCAUCCAAUCGUAGCCGCAUACAUCCGGCCAACAAUUCAAACCAACCGGGUGAAAUUCGAUCAAACCGGACGGAUUUCAUUCAAGUUCGGAUAUAAUUUACAUAAAAAGGUUCAUAUUUCGACCGUUUAACUAAAAACAACCUAAGCCCUUUACUGGACGACCACCACAUACGCGUGGCCGCCCUGCCCUGCCGCACCACCGUCUCUGUCAGUGCCAUCGUCCCUCCAGCGGCGGUACGACGCCGGAGGGCCGUGACAACCUUGUCUAGAGGCUGCCUGCCCCUCGCGGAGAAGCCGCUCCACCUCUUGCCACGUCGUGUGGAAUGUCGCCGCGGCCAUUGCCGACGUGGCCUUCUGAGCACUGAUGGUUGCCUUGCCGCGGCCAUUGCCGAUGUGGCCUUCGGAGCCCUGAUGGUUGCCUUGCCGCAGCCGGCUUUGGUGGAGCAGUCGCUAAGCGACCAUUCCUCGUCGUCAAGGCGGCGGCGACGCCUGGCGACCGUCUCUGCGAUGGUCAAGGAGCGGUCGAGUGCCGACACGGCGGCGAGGUCUGGGUCGUUGAGGACCCAGUCAGGCGCCACGUCGCUCUUGGCAAACGCGGAGCGACGACUGGCUUUGCGGAGACGACAACGGCGCGUCGAUGCGGCCGUAGAGGCUGCACCGCGGGAACCCGAGCUUUUCCUUGACGCGACGUUUGAUCUAGAGGACACGGUGGUGCAGGGGCGAGGCCGGCUCCUCCUUGAUGUGGCGUGCGAUCUGGAUGUCGCGGUUGUGCCAGGGCGAGGCCGACUCCUCCUUCACCGGCAGGAGUGUGGAUGCCUGCUCGGUCUUGACGCGGUGGCGGCGGGGAGGCCAGCUCCUCCUUCACGCAUGUGGGCGAUGGCGGCGAUGGCCCCAUGCCACGGAGCGACCGCUCCAUCAUUAACUCGAUCUGACGGACAAAAUCUUCGUCAGUCAGAGCGGUCUCCUUGAGGAGUUGGGGCGGUUGCUGCGGUGGCUCCCGCGGCGGCGGCGUUGGUGCCUGCUCCUUCUCGUCACCGGCCGUCGUGGACGCUGACAGGCCCGGAGAGCGUCUGCUGUGGCGCCAAGAACCGCCGCCGGAGGAGCUUCCGCCUACUCCGCCUGCCAGCGUNNNNNNNNNNNNNNNNNNNNNNNNNNNNNNNNNNNNNNNNNNNNNNNNNNNNNNNNNNNNNNNNNNNNNNNNNNNNNNNNNNNNNNNNNNNNNNNNNNNNNNNNNNNNNNNNNNNNNNNNNNNNNNNNNNNNNNNNNNNNNNNNNNNNNNNNNNNNNNNNNNNNNNNNNNNNNNNNNNNNNNNNNNNNNNNNNNNNNNNNNNNNNNNNNNNNNNNNNNNNNNNNNNNNNNNNNCCAGCGUGGAGCACCACGACUUCAACAUUGUCGCAGCUUGGGUCGAAGAGGGGGGGGGGCUCGGGCAUGAAGACGGGGGAGGGGAGGGGGGCGGUGCUAUGGGAGGGGGUGGUGCAUCUUUGUGCAACUCGACGCAUGGCUGAAAUAGCCGUGGCGAGGAGCAGACAAAGGGCCGGUCAGCAACUUCAAUGCAGGGCAACGGCCGGAGUUGGUUCCUCGGGAAUCUAUGUCCGCAUUGAAUGCGGCGCGGUAAGCGGCGCGUGCAUCGGAAGAAAAGCGCGAGAGGGACGGGUGACGGGUUUUUGGUGGGACAAGGCGGUCAGAAGCGGGCUUGUGAUCGGUCUGGACUCUCCUGUGAAUCUCUCACGUUUAUCUCCGGUUUGCGGGAGAAAUUGAGUCUGAACCGCUCCGCGGAUCGACACAAGUCAGCGUUGAAUGACUUCUACAAUCCGAACAACGCGGUCCGAAUGGUUGCGGGAGGUUUACGGGUCCAUCUUGGAUUCCUCACCGAACCCAACCAACACAAUUGAAAUCGAUCGCUGAUUUGCUGUAGGUGUAGCUCGCCGUGACACGCUUAGACCUUGUUGGGUUAUACUGUACAACUUCUCUUCGACAGGUUGGAAGUAGGGAAAACGUUGGGCGCUCGAUGGCGACGCGUUCAUUUUGGAAUGGCCAGCAUCAGAACCAGCCCUUGUGUACUGGAUUGCUCAUCGUUGGAUGUGACCACACGCAUUGGCACGCAUACUCGUUCUUGCUUCCCAUCGAGGGAGAACUAGGCGUGUUUGGUUUCAGUUUGGAACAGUAGCUGUAUUGCAUACAGACCUUAAUCCAGUCUGACUCUAAAAAAACAAUUUUAUAUGCGACAUCUACGAGUUAUUUGGUUGCCUGCAUAUGGACUUCCUGCAUUAGGAGAUUAAUUUUGGCAUGUUGUUUGGUUGCCUGCAUUUUCUCGGCGCAUGCAACUACACGUUGUUUGGUUGCCCGCAUGGGAUAUGAUUAAGAGUUAGCACUUGCACUUAGCACAUAGGGCUAAGAGCUAGCAGAGGAAGGAGGAGAAGAAAUGCAGUGUGCUCGGACCAUGGCGACUGCGGUGGAUAGUGGCCGUGGCGCCGUGUCCGACAUGACGAGCAUGGAGUCGUGGACGAGCGACCCCGCCGGCGGCACGACGAGCGACACCAUCGGUGAACUAGUUGCGGUGCUCGCGCAAAGACAAUGGACAGAGAAGGAGAAUGCAGUGCUCGUGCCAUGGUAUCUUCAGUGCAGUGGACGAGAGAGGAGACCGAGAUGAUCGACGCCGGAAACGACUCCAGUGUAGUAGGGCGAGAGAGAGGAGGCGAAGAUGAUCGACCCCGUCGGCGGCGCGGCGAACUACAGUGUGCGCGAAGGUAGAGGACACAAGAAAGCAGUGUGUGCGCCAUUGCAGCGUCAGUGCAGUAGGAGGAUGACAGAGAGUAGGCCGAGAUGAGCGACGCCGGAAACGACUCUAGUGUAGUAGCACGCGGGCAAGGAGAUCAAGGGGAAGGGCUUCGAUGUCGAGAGGGAUGAAUAGGAGGGUUCAGAGCAGAGGACAGAGGAGCUCGACAUGGCGGCGUCAGUGCAGUAGACUGCUGUUGAAAGAAAGAUGAAGCUACGAUCGUCGAAACCAAAAACUUACAACACGAAUGUUGUGAGAGACUGCGAGAUUAGGCUAUUGGUCAAAGAAAAUUUGAAAUGAUCGUAGUUUCAAAUCUCGCAGUCCCUCACAGCAUUUUUAGUCUUUGCAGGUUCUGGUUAAGGAUUGCAAUUUUAUCCAUAGACAUGGUGUUGGGUUUCGUAGUAAUUUUAAAAAAUUUCCUAUGCACACGCAAGAUCAUGGUGAUGCAUAGCAACGAGAGGGGGAGAGUGUGAUCUACGUACCCUUGUAGAUCGACAACGGAAGCGUUAACUUGGUUGAUGUAGUCAUACGUCUUCACGGCCCGACCGAUCAAGCACCGAAACUACAACACCUCCGAGUUCUAGCACACGUUCAGCUCGAUGACGAUCCCUGGACUCCGAUCCAGCAAAGUGUCGAGGAAGAGUUCCGUCAGCACGACGGCGUGGUGACAAUCUUGAUGUACUACUGUCGCAGGGCUUCGACUAAGCACCGCUACAAUAUUAUCGAGGACUAUGGUGGAAGGGGGCACCGCACACGGCUAAGAAUAUGAUCACGUGGAUCAACUUGUGUCAUGGGGUGCCCCCUUGCCCCCGUAUAUAAAGGAGCAAGGGGGAGGGGCGGCCGGCCAAGGAGGGGGCGCGCCAAGGGGAGUCCUACUCCCACUGGGAGUAGGACUCCUUCCUUCCUUGUUGGAGUAGGAGAAGGGGAAAGAGGGGGGGAGGAAAAAGGAAAAGGNNNNNNNNNNNNNNNNNNNNNNNNNNNNNNNNNNNNNNNNNNNNNNNNNNNNNNNNNNNNNNNNNNNNNNNNNNNNNNNNNNNNNNNNNNNNNNNNNNNNNNNNNNNNNNNNNNNNNNNNNNNNNNNNNNNNNNNNNNNNNNNNNNNNNNNNNNNNNNNNNNNNNNNNNNNNNNNNNNNNNNNNNNNNNNNNNNNNNNNNNNNNNNNNNNNNNNNNNNNNNNNNNNNNNNNNNUCUCCUUUAUUCCCGUAUGCCCCAAUAAGGCCCAUAUACUGCUCGGCGAAUUCCCGUAACUCUCCGGUACUCCGAAAAAUACCCGAAUCACUCGGAACCUUUCCGAUGUCCGAAUAUAGUCGUCCAAUAUAUCGAUCUUUACAUCUCGACCAUUUCGAGACUCCUCGUCAUGUCCCCGAUCUCAUCCGGGACUCCGAACUCCUUCGGUACAUCAAAACUCAUAAACUCAUAAUAUAACUGUCAUCGAAACCUUAAGCGUGCGGACCCUACGGUUCGAGAACAAUGUAGACAUGACCGAGACAUGUCUCCGGUCAAUAACCAAUAGCGGAACCUGGAUGCUCAUAUUGGCUCCUACAUAUUCUACGAAGAUCUUUAUCGGUCGGACCACAUAACAACAUACGUUGUUCCCUUUGUCAUUGGUAUGUUACUUGCCCGAGAUUCGAUCGUCGGUAUCUCAAUACCUAGUUCGAUCUCAUUACCGGAAAGUCUCUUUACUUGUUCCAUAAUACAUCAUCUCACAACUAACUCAUUAGUUGCAAUGCUUGCAAGGCUUUAUGUGAUGUGCAUUAUCGAGAGGGCCCAGAGAUACCUCUCCGACAAUCGGAGUGACAAAUCCUAAUCUCUAAAUACGCCAACCCAACAUGUACCUUUGGAGACACCUGUAGAGCACCUUUAUAAUCACCCAGUUACGUUGUGACGUUUGGUAGCACAUAAAGUGUUCCUCCGGCAAACGGGAGUUGCAUAAUCUCAUAGUCAUAGGAACAUGUAUAAGUCAUGAAGAAAGCAAUAGCAACAUACUAAACAAUCGGGUGCUAAGCUAAUGGAAUGGGUCAUGUCAAUCAGAUCAUUCAACUAAUGAUGUGAUCCCGUUAAUCAAAUAACAACUCUUUGUCCAUGGUUAGGAAACAUAACCAUCUUUGAUUAACGAGCUAGUCAAGUAGAGGCAUACUAGUGACACUCUGUUUGUCUAUGUAUUCACACAUGUAUUAUAUUUCCGGUUAAUACAAUUCUAGCAUGAAUAAUAAACAUUUAUCAUGAUAUAAGGAAAUAAAUAAUAACUUUAUUAUUGCCUCUAGGGCAUAUUUCCUUCACAUGGAUAUCCAUGGAUAUCCGACCCGAAUGGAUAGGGUUUAGAUAUGCUUUUGUGCCCAUGGGCGGCGCCCAAAUCCGACCCGAUUGCUCGCGGGUAGGGCAUAGAUAUAAUCUUGUAUCCAUGGAUAUAUCUAAACCCGACCCGAUAGUAUGCAUUAAUGGGCAAAAAUCUGCUAUCCCUACCCCAUAGUCACAUCUCCCAUUGCAAUUUUAAACUUUCUUAUAUAAAUCAUGCAAAAUAAAUUGCACAAUCCCCACCGUAACUUUCAUUAGUUGACAUUCAAUCCCCACUAACAUACUCCAGCGCCCCUUUCUUUAUUUUUAUCUCCUCGUUAAAUGACUCAUUAUUUCAUCUUUUAGUAAAAUACUAAAUGAUAUUAGAUUGUUAGUGGACGCUGAUUUACCAUAAGAUGAUGUUUACAAUAACUGAAGUCUAGCUUCCCACGAGGUGAAGAAUGGAAGAUCCUAUGUUAACAUUGUCUUAUGUCAUAUUUGUAUAUAUUGAGAGGACCCAAUGGAUAUCCAGUGGGUAUGGAUAUCCAUCGGGUUUGGAUAUGGACACAAUUUUGAAGGAAAUAUGCCCUAGAGGCAAUAAUAAAGUUAUUAUUUAUUUCCUUAUAUCAUGAUAAAUGUUUAUUAUUCAUGCUAGAAUUGUAUUAACCGGAAACAUAAUACAUGUGUGAAUACAUAGACAAACAGAGUGUCACUAGUAUGCCUCUACUUGACUAGCUCAUUAAUCAAAGAUGGUUAUGUUUCCUAACCAUAGACAAAGUAGUUGUUAUUUGAUUAAUGGGAUCACAUCAUUAGUUGAAUGAUCUGAUUGACAUGACUCAUUCCAUUAGCUUAGCACCCGAUCGUUUAGUAUGUUGCUAUUGCUUUCUUCAUGACUUAUACAUAUUCCUAUGACUAUGAGAUUAUGCAACUCCCGUUUACCGGAGGAACACUUUGGGUGCUACCAAACGUCACAACGUAACUGGAUGAUUAUAAAGGAGUACUACAGGUGUCUCCAAAGGUAGAUGUUGGGUUGGCGUAUUUCGAGAUUAGGAUUUGUCACUCCGAUUGUCGGAGAGGUAUCUCUGGGCCCUCUCGGUAAUGCACAUCACAUAAGCCUUGCAAGCAUUACAACUAAUAUGUUAGUUGUGAGAUGAUGUAUUACGGAACGAGUAAAGAGACUUGCCGGUAACGAGAUUGAACUAGGUAUUUAGAAUACCGAUGAUCGAAUCUCGGGCAAGUAACAUACCGAUGACAAAGGGAACGACGUAUGUUGUUAUGCGGUCUGACCGAUAAAGAUCUUCAUAGAAUAUGUAGGAGCCAAUAUGGGCAUCCAGGUCCCGCUAUUGGUUAUUGACUGGAGACAUGUCUCGGUCAUGUCUACAUUGUUCUCGAACCCGUAGGGUCCGCAAGCUUAAGGUUACGAUGACAGUUAUAUUACGAGUUUAUGCAUAUUGAUGUACCGAAGAUAGUUCGGAGUCCCGGAUGUGAUCACGGACAUGACGAGGAGUCUCGAAAUGGUCGAGACAUAAAGAUUGAUAUAUUGGAAGCCUAUGUUUGGAUAUCGGAAGUGUUCCGGGUGAAAUAGGGAUUUUACCGGAGUACCGGGAGGUUACCGGAACCCCCCCGGGAGCUAUAUGGGCCUUAGUGGGCUUUAGUGGAAAAGAGAAGGGGCAGCCCAAGAUGGGCCGCACGCCUCCCCCCUUCCCUAGUCCUAUUAGGACAAGGAGAGGUGGCCGGUCCCCCUCUCUCUUUUCCCCCUCCGCGAAUCCUAUUCCAACUAGGAUUGGGGGGGGGGAAUCCUACUCCCAGAGGGAGUAGGACUCUCCUGGCGCGCCAUCCUUGGCCGGCCAGCCUCCCCCCUUUAGUCCUUUAUAUACGGAGGCAGGGGCACCCCAGAAACACAUAAGUUGAUCCACAUGAUAUAUUCCUUAGCCGUGUGCGGUGCCCCCUUCCACCAUAGUCCUCGAUAAUAUUGUAGCGGAGUUUAGGCGAAGCCCUGCUGCAGUAGUACAUCAAGAUCGUCACCACGCCGUCAUGCUGACGGAACUCUUCCCCGACACUUUGCUAGAUCAGAGUCCGGGGAUCGUCAUCGAGCUAAACGUGUGCUAGAACUCGUAGGUGCCGUAGUUUCGGUGCUUGAUCAGUCGGAUCGUGAAGACGUACGACUACAUCAACCAAACACUUCCGUUGUCGAUCUACUAGGUAUGUAGAUCACACUCCCCCCCUCGUUGCUAUGCAUCACCAUGAUCUUGCGUGUGCGUAGGAAUUUUUUUGAAAUUACUACGAAACCCUACAGUGGCAUCCGAGCCUAGGUUUUAUAUGUUGAUGUUAUAUGCACGAGUAGAACACAAGUAAGUUGUGGGCGAUAUAAGUCAUACUGCCUACCAGCAUGUCAUACUUUGGUUCGGCGGUAUUGUUGGAUGAGACGACCCGGACCGACAUUACGGGUACGCUUACGCGAGACCGGUUCUCCCGACGUGCUUUGCACAUAGGUGGCUUGCGGGCGACAGUCUCUCCAACUUUAGUUGAACCGAGUGUGGCUACGCCCGGUCCUUGCGAAGGUUAAAACGGAGUCAAAUUGACAAACUAUCGUUGUGGUUUUGAUGCGUAGGUGAGAUUGGUUCUUACUUAAGCCCGUAGCAGCCACGUAAAACUUGCAACAACAAAGUAGAGGACGUCUAACUUGUUUUUGCAGGGCAUGUUGUGAUGUGAUAUGGUCAAGACAUGAUGCUGAAUUUUAUUGUAUGAGAUGAUCAUGUUUUGUAACCGAGUUAUCGGCAACCGGCAGGAGCCAUAUGGUUGUCGCUUUAUUGUAUGCAAUGAAAUCGUGAUGUAAUGCUUUACUUUAUCACUAAACGGUAGCGAUAGUCGUGGAAGCACAAGCUUGGCGAGGCGACAACGAUGCUACGAUGGAGAUCAAGGUGUCACGCCGGUGACGAUGGUGAUCACGAUGGUGCUUCGGAGAUGGAGAUCACAAGCACAAGAUGAUGAUGGCCAUAUCAUAUCACUUAUAUUGAUUGCAUGUGAUGUUUAUCCUUUAUGCAUCUUAUCUUGCUUUGAUUGACGGUAGCAUUAUAAGAUGAUCUCUCACUAAAUUAUCAAGUAGUGUUCUCCCUGAGUAUGCACCAUUGCGAAAGUUCUUCGUGCUGAGACACCACGUGAUGAUGGGUGUGAUAGGUUCUACGUUCAAAUACAACGGGUGCAAACAGUUGCACACGCGGAAUACUCAGGUUAUACUUGACGAGCCAAGCAUAUACAGAUAUGGCCUCGGAACACGGAGACCGAAAGGUCGAGCGUGAAUCAUAUAGUAGAUAUGAUCAACAUAAUGAUGUUCACCAAUGAAACUACUCCAUCUCACGUGAUGAUCGGACAUGGUUUAGAUGAUUUGGAUCACGUAAUCACUUAGAGGAUUAGAGGGAUGUCUAUCUAAGUGGGAGUUCUUUAAGUAAAUUAACUAAACUUAAAUUUAUCAUGAAACUUAGUACCUGAUAGUAUCUUGCUUGUGUAUGUUUGAUUGUAGAUAGAUGGCUCGUGCUGUUGUUCCGUUGAAUUUUAAUGCGUUCCUUGAGAAAGCAAAGUUGAAAGAUGAUGGUAGCAAUUACACGGACUGGGUCCGUAACUUGAGGAUUAUCCUCAUUGCUGCACAGAAGAAUUACGUCCUGGAAGCACCGCUGGGUGCCAGGCCUGCUGCUGGAGCAAUGCCGGAUGUUAUGAACGUCUGGCAGAGCAAAGCUGAUGACUACUCGAUAGUCUAGUGUGCCAUGAUUUACGUCUUAGAAUCGGGACUUCAACGAUGUUUUGAACGUCAUCGAGCAUAUGAGAUGUUCCAGGAGUUGAAGUUAAUAUUUCAAGCAAAUGCCCGGAUUGAGAGAUAUGAAGUCUCCAAUAAGUUCUAUAGCUGCAAGAUGGAGGAGAACAGUUCUGUUAGUGAGCAUAUACUCAAAAUGUCUGGGUAUAAUAAUCACUUGAUUCAAUUGGGAGUUAAUCUUCUAGAUGAUUGCGUCAUUGACAGAAUUCUCCAAUCACUGCCACCAAGCUACAAGAGCUUCGUGAUGAACUAUAAUAUGCAAGGGAUGAAUAAGACUAUUCUCGAGCUCUUCGCGAUGCUGAAAGCUGCGGAGGUAGAAAUCAAGAAGGAGCAUCAAGUGUUGAUGGUCAACAAGACCACUAGUUUCAAGAAAAAGGGCAAAGGAAAGAAGAAGGGGAACUUCAAAAAGAACGGCAAGCAAGUUGCUACUCAAGAGAAGAAACCAAAACCUGGACCUAAGCCUGAAACUGAGUGCUUCUAUUGCAAGCAGACUGGUCACUGGAAGCGGAGCUGCCCCAAGUAUUUGGCGGAUAAGAAGGAUGGCAAGGUGAACAAAGGUAUAUGUGAUAUACAUGUUAUUGAUGUGUACCUUACUAAUGCUCGCAGUAGCAUCUGGGUAUUUGAUACUGGUUCUGUUGCUAAUAUUUGCAACUCGAAACAGGGACUACGGAUUAAGCAAAGAUUAGCUAAGGACGAGGUGACGAUGCGCGUGGGAAACGGUUCGAAAGUCGAUGUGAUCGCAGUCGGCACGCUACCUCUACAUCUACCUUCGGGAUUAAUAUUAGACCUAAAUAAUUGUUAUUUGGUGCCAGCGUUAAGCAUGAACAUUAUAUCUGGAUCUUGUUUGAUGCGAGACGGUUAUUCAUUUAAAUCAGAGAAUAAUGGUUGUUCUAUUUAUAUGAGUAAUAUCUUUUAUGGUCAUGCACCCUUGAAGAGUGGUCUAUUCUUGUUGAAUCUCGAUAGUAGUAACACACAUAUUCAUAAUGUUGAAGCCAAAAGAUGCAGAGUUGAUAAUGAUGGUGCAACUUAUUUGUGGCACUGCCGUUUAGGUCAUAUCGGUGUAAAGCGCAUGAAGAAACUCCAUACUGAUGGACUUUUGGAACCACUUGAUUAUGAAUCACUUGGUACUUGCGAACCGUGCCUCAUGGGCAAGAUGACUAAAACACCGUUCUCCGGUUCUAUGGAGAGAGCAACAGAUUUGUUGGAAAUCAUACAUACAGAUGUAUGUGGUCCAAUGAAUAUUGAGGCUCGUGGCGGAUAUCGUUAUUUUCUCACCUUCACAGAUGAUUUGAGCAGAUAUGGGUAUAUCUACUUAAUGAAACAUAAGUCUGAAACAUUUGAAAAGUUCAAAGAAUUUCAGAGUGAAGUUGAAAAUCAUCGUAACAAGAAAAUAAAGUUUCUACGAUCUGAUCGUGGAGGAGAAUAUUUGAGUUACGAGUUUGGUGUACAUUUGAAAAAUUGUGGAAUAGUUUCACAACUCACGCCACCCGGAACACCAUAGCGUAAUGGUGUGUCCGAACGUCGUAAUCGUACUUUACUAGAUAUGGUGCGAUCUAUGAUGUCUCUUACUGAUUUACCGCUAUCGUUUUGGGGAUACGCUCUAGAGACGGCCGCAUUCACGUUAAAUAGGGCACCAUCAAAAUCCUUUGAGACGACGCCUUAUGAACUAUGGUUGGCAAGAAACCAAAGUUGUCGUUUCUAAAAGUUUGGGGCUGCGAUGCUUAUGUGAAAAAACUUCAACCUGAUAAGCUCGAACCCAAAUCGGAUAAAUGUGUCUUCAUAGGAUAUCCAAAGGAGACUAUUGGAUACACCUUCUAUCACAGAUCCGAAGGCAAGACUUUUGUUGCUAAGUGCGGAAAUUUUCUAGAGAAGGAGUUUCUCUCGAAAGAAGUGAGUGGGAGGAAAGUAGAACUUGACGAGGUAACUGUACCUGCUCCCUUAUUGGAAAGUAGUACAUCACAGAAAACUGUUUCUGUGACACCUACACCAGUUAGUGAGGAAGCUAAUGAUAAUGAUCAUGAAACUUCAGAACAAGAUACUACUGAACCUCGUAGAUGAACCAGAGUAAGAUCCGCACCAGAGUGGUAUGGUAAUCCCGUUCUGGAAGUCACGCUACUAGAUCAUGAUGAACCUACGAACUAUGAAGAAGCGAUGGUGAGCCCAGAUUCCGCAAAAUGGCUUGAAGCCAUGAAAUCUGAGAUGGGAUCCAUGUAUGAGAACAAAGUGUGGACUUUGGUUGACUUGCCCGAUGAUCGGCAAGCAAUUGAGAAUAAAUGGAUCUUCAAGAAGAAGACUGACGCUGACGGUAAUAUUACUGUCUACAAAGCUCGACUUGUCGCAAAAGGUUUUCGGCAAGUUCAAGGGAUUGACUACGAUGAGACCUUCUCACCCGUAGCGAUGCUUAAGUCUGUCCGAAUCAUGUUAGCAAUUGCCGCAUUUUAUGAUUAUGAAAUUUGGCAGAUGGAUGUCAAAACUGCAUUCCUGAAUGGAUUUCUGGAAGAAGAGUUGUAUAUGAUGCAACCAGAAGGUUUUGUCGAUCCAAAGGGAGCUAACAAAGUGUGCAAGCUCCAGCGAUCCAUUUAUGGACUGGUGCAAGCCUCUCGGAGUUGGAAUAAACGUUUUGAUAGUGUGAUCAAAGCAUUUGGUUUUAUACAGACUUUUGGAGAAGCCUGUAUUUACAAGAAAGUGAGUGGGAGCUCUGUAGCAUUUCUGAUAUUAUAUGUAGAUGACAUAUUACUGAUUGGAAAUGAUAUAGAAUUUCUGGAUAGCAUAAAGGGAUACUUGAAUAAGAGUUUUUCAAUGAAAGACCUCGGUGAAGCUGCUUAUAUAUUAGGCAUUAAGAUCUAUAGAGAUAGAUCAAGACGCCUAAUUGGACUUUCACAAAGCACAUACCUUGACAAAGUUUUGAAAAAGUUCAAAAUGGAUCAAGCAAAGAAAGGGUUCUUGCCUGUGUUACAAGGUGUGAAGUUGAGUAAGACUCAAUGCCCGACCACUGCAGAAGAUAGAGAGAAUAUGAAAGAUGUUCCCUAUGCAUCAGCCAUAGGAUCUAUCAUGUAUGCAAUGCUGUGUACCAGACCUGAUGUGUGCCUUGCUAUAAGUCUAGCAGGGAGGUACCAAAGUAAUCCAGGAGUGGAUCACUGGACAGCGGUCAAGAACAUCCUGAAAUACCUGAAAAGGACUAAGGAUAUGUUUCUCAUAUAUGGAGGUGACAAAGAACUCAUCGUAAAAGGUUACGUUGAUGCAAGCUUUGACACUGAUCCGGACGAUUCUAAAUCUCAAACCGGAUACGUGUUUACACUAAACGGUGGGGCUGUAAGUUGGUGCAGUUCUAAACAAAGCGUCGUAGCGGGAUUUACAUGUGAAGCGGAAUACAUAGCUGCUUCGGAAGCAGCAAAUGAAGGAGUCUGGAUGAAGGAGUUCAUAUCCGAUCUAGGUGUCAUACCUAGUGCAUCGGGUCCAAUGAAAAUCUUUUGUGACAAUACUGGUGCAAUUGCCUUGGCAAAGGAAUCCAGGUUUCACAAGAGAACCAAGCACAUCAAGAGACGCUUCAAUUCCAUCCGGGAUCUAGUCCAGGUAGGAGACAUAGAGAUUUGCAAGAUACAUACGGAUCUGAAUGUUGCAGACCCGUUGACUAAGCCUCUUCCACAAGCAAAACAUGAUCAGCACCAAGGCUCCAUGGGUGUUAGAAUCAUUACUGUGUAAUCUAGAUUAUUGACUCUAGUGCAAGUGGGAGACUGAAGGAAAUAUGCCCUAGAGGCAAUAAUAAAGUUAUUAUUUAUUUCCUUAUAUCAUGAUAAAUGUUUAUUAUUCAUGCUAGAAUUGUAUUAACCGGAAACAUAAUACAUGUGUGAAUACAUAGACAAACAGAGUGUCACUAGUAUGCCUCUACUUGACUAGCUCAUUAAUCAAAGAUGGUUAUGUUUCCUAACCAUAGACAAAGUAGUUGUUAUUUGAUUAAUGGGAUCACAUCAUUAGUUGAAUGAUCUGAUUGACAUGACCCAUUCCAUUAGCUUAGCACCCGAUCGUUUAGUAUGUUGCUAUUGCUUUCUUCAUGACUUAUACAUGUUCCUAUGACUAUGAGAUUAUGCAACUCCCGUUUACCGGAGGAACAAUUUGGGUGCUACCAAACGUCACAAUGUAACUGGGUGAUUAUAAAGGAGUACUGCAGGUGUCUCCAAAGGUAGAUGUUGGGUUGGCGUAUUUCGAGAUUAGGAUUUGUCACUCCGAUUGUCGGAGAGGUAUCUCUGGGCCCUCUCGGUAAUGCACAUCACAUAAGCCUUGCAAGCAUUACAACUAAUAUGUUAGUUGUGAGAUGAUGUAUUACGGAACGAGUAAAGAGACUUGCCGGUAACGAGAUUGAACUAGGUAUUUAGAAUACCGACGAUCGAACCUCGGGCAAGUAACAUACCGAUGACAAAGGGAACGACAUAUGUUGUUAUGCGGUCUGACCGAUAAAGAUCUUCGUAGAAUAUGUAGGAGCCAAUAUGGGCAUCCAGGUCCCGCUAUUGGUUAUUGACUGGAGACAUGUCUCGGUCAUGUCUACAUUGUUCUCGAACCCGUAGGGUCCGCACGCUUAAGGUUACGAUGACAGUUAUAUUAUGAGUUUAUGCAUAUUGAUGUACCGAAGAUAGUUCGGAGUCCCGGAUGUGAUCACCGACAUGACGAGGAGUCUCGAAAUGGUCGAGACAUAAAUAUUGAUAUAUUGGAAGCCUAUGUUUGGAUAUCAGAAGUGUUCCGGGUGAAAUCGGGAUUUUACCGGAGUACCGGGAGGUUGCCGGAACCCCCCCCGGGAGCUAUAUGGGCCUUAGUGGGCUUUAGUGGAAAAGAGAAGGGGCAGCCCAAGAUGGGCCGCGCGUCUCCCCCCUCCCCUAGUCCUAUUAGGACAAGGAGAGCUGGCCGGCCCCCCUCUCUCUUUUCCCCCUCCGUGAAUCCUAUUCCAACUAGGAUGGGGGGGGGGAAUCCUACUCCCAGAGGGAGUAGGACUCUCCUGGCGCGCCAUCCUUGGCCGGCCAGCCUCCCCCCUUUAGUCAUUUAUAUAUGGAGGCAGGGGCACCCCAGAAACACACAAGUUGAUCCACGUGAUCUAUUCCUUAGCCGUGUGCGGUGCCCCCUUCCACCAUAGUCCUCGAUAAUAUUGUAGCGGAGUUUAGGCGAAGCCCUGCUGCAGUAGUACAUCAAGAUCGUCACCACGCCGUCGUGCUGACGGAACUCUUCCCCGACACUUUGCUGGAUCAGAGUCCGGGGAUCGUCAUCGAGCUGAACGUGUGCUAGAACUCGGAGGUGCCGUAGUUUCGGUGCUUGAUCGGUCGGAUCAUGAAGACGUACGACUACAUCAACCAAACGCUUCCGUUGUCGAUCUACUAGGUAUGUAGAUCACACUCCCCCCUCGUUGCUAUGCAUCACCAUGAUCUUGCGUGUGCGUAGGAAUUUUUUUGAAAUUACUACAAAACCCUACAAAUUUUUCACCCGUGGACUUUUUCAUGGACGGGUAAAGACUGUCUUCAUGGAUAUGGAUAUGGAUUUGAUAUUGUUCAACCCAAUCCAAACCUGACCCAUUGCCAUCCUUAGUUCUGGUUGCACAAGGUUGGUCCACACCCGGUUGGUCCUGUUGCCAGACCUGGACGCUCGCUCAGCAUGCACAUGUGAAUGAUAAAUGCGCAGUGCUUCGAGGAAGUUCCAAACCAGAUGUUUCGAAUUAGUUAAAUUUAAACUAGUCUGAAAUAUAUCCAUGAUUGGUCUCGUUCUAAAGAUCUUAUCUCUAGAAUUCAAAUAUAUAAAAAAAUCAUAAGAGAAAAUUUGGUUUUGAAGAUAUGAACCAUCCACAUUAUUUUUUUUGAAAAACUUUAAUUUAUUCAACUUCAAUCAUGGCAUUACAACGAACCAGAAAUAAAUAUAGACCAUCUAGCAACGACUACAAACACUGAAGCGAGCUGAAGGCGCGCCGCCAUCAUCGCCCAUUCAUCGCCGGACUCGGGCACAACUUGUUGUACUAGACAGUUGGGAAGUCAUCGUGCUAAGGCCCCAUAGGACCAGCACCCCAGAACAACAACCACCGCCGAUGAAGAAUAACGUAGGUCGGAAGGAUCCAAACCGACGAACACGAACGUAGACGAACAACGACAAGAUCCAAGCAAAUCCAUCAAAGAUAGAUCUGCCGGAGACACACCUUCACACGCUCACCAACGAUACUAGACGCACCGUUGGAAUGAGGGUUAGGCAAGGAGACCUUUAUUCCAUAUUUAGGAAGACGCCGCCUUCUCGCCUUCUUGAACAGGACACAAAACCUAACAAGAUUAAAAAAAGAGACUAAAAACGAAGCCCUUCCGUCGGCCUUUACCAGGAUCCACCGCGCCUCCAUGGCUCUAGGGCCACCAGAGACGAGGCAGACCCGCGCCGACGUUGGCGAGAGGAACAAACCCUAACUUUUUUUCUUGGAGGAGAACGAGGCGGCUGCUGGUGAAGCAUCCAAAUUAUAACUGUGUAUACGGGUGAGUGGCCAGAGAUGCAUUUUUUUAGCUAACUAGUUUUUGUACCCCAUCAAUGGUGUAACACCAAAUCUGGUGAACUGUGUGAGUGAGCAGGCUCACUACUUUUCGCAAUCGCUUUUACCCCAUCAAUGGUCCAUUACUUCGGGUGCAUGGGCCCUCUUAGUACCAAGUAAUAUAGCAACCAUAGGAGAACUUAGGGCAUCUCCAGCCGCGCCCCCAACAGGCCCUCCCCAGGUGAUUUUGCCGCGCCGGCGCCAAAAAAACGGCCCAAUCGCGCCCCCAGAAGCCCGUUUUUCGCCGGCUCAGGCCAAAACUGGUGCCGGCGGACCCAGGCCGAACCCGGCGCCCUGGGGGCGCUUAGGGAGCCGGCACAAGCAAAAAAGGCGUGUGGGCCCGCCUUGGCGGCGACCCGAGGGCCUUUUCCCGCCGCUUCUUAACGCUUUUCCCUCGCAUCUCUUCUGCUCGCUCGCCUUCCUCCCGCCAUUCCCACCCUUUCUCCCGCCAAACCCCCUCCAGCUCGCCUUCCAGUCGCCGCCAUGCCGCGCGCGGCGGCAACCACGACUGGCACCAUGGCCCAGCCGAAGCAGAGGAAGCCGAGGGCGCCGCCAUCGAAGCCACCGGGCAUGUCGAACGUCGAGUGGAGGGUGGAAGUUCAGCGAUGCGACGCAGUCACCACCGAUCGGCGGAACAGGGCCAUUGCCAAGAAGGCCUGCGACAACGCGGCACGUGCGGCGGUGUCUUCCUCAUCGGUCGACCACGCGGGGAUGAUGAAUCCACCCAUCGUCAGCCACGCCCAGUACGCGCCCUGGGGACAGCAGGGCGUCGGAUCUUCAUGGGGAUCGUCAUCGCCCGGCUACGCCGACGGCGACGCGCACGGGGGGUUCAACCCAAACGUGACCUUCCCCCAUGGCCACCCCGCGACGCGCACACCCUCGCCCGCCUUCGUCGGCGUGUAGUACCCUCCAUACAACUACUCGCCGCCCACCGCCUACGCGUCCACACCGAUGCCCCAUCUCCACCGUGGACCGCUGCCCUUCUCGCACCUCGGCGACACGGACGACACAGGAGCCGACAUGGACGACAUCAUCGCGACAGGAUCGACCGCGCCUGUUGCGUCUCCCGGGUUCCCCACCCAGGACGAGGUAGUGGAUCUCAGCGGCGACAUGGAGGCCGAGCUCGGCUACAUCUACGGCGAGGACGCGCACGAAGCGCAGGAACCCGAGGAGGAGGAGGAGGACGAGGAGGAGGAGGAGCCGGCUCCUGUUCCGACGAAGGGGCGCCAGAAAAAGAAGAAGCGGGCUGCUAGGUCAGGCGAACCGCGCAUCAAGUGGACGUCCAAGGAGGAGGAAUGCCUCGCCGAAGCAUGGAAAGUCGUCGGCCUCGACCCGACCACCGGCGCGAACCAGAGCUUGGAGACGUACUGGGACCACAUCAAGGCCGAGUUCGACGAGCGAAAGCUCGUCGACCCGUACUUCAAAGGCGUCUACAUGCAGCGCGGAUCCAAGGCGAUGGCGAACCAUUGGGGGCGUAUCCAGUUGGUGUGCAACAAAUGGCAUGGAAUCGUCAAGGAGGUCGCGGCUCGCCCAGAGAGCGGCGCCAGCGUUGAGGAUCAGGUACGCACGCCGUUCGCCCGCAUCUCUUUGUCGUCAACGCCUGCCGCCCGCCAACUGUUUGUUCCUUCGCGCAGCUGCUGCGUAUGUUCACCAUGUAUCGGCGCGACAACCAAGACGCCGACUUCAAGAACCUCCACAUCUACAAGCGCAUUGACAAGUGCGAGAAGUGGGCGGAAGUCUGAUGUACCCUCGACAAGGCCAAGGAGACAUACAAGCUGGACGCGAUGACUCCGGGCACGUCACAGGGGCGGCCGGACGGCCACAAAUUGGCAAAGAAGGGGAAAAACGCCGACGCGGCAACCGCGCGAGUGCAGGAGUCCAUCGAGCAUUGCCUCGCCGACGCCCAGGCCCGGGCCGUCCUACGUGAAGAGAAGACCGAGGCGCGGUGGUCGUCGCUGAUGAAGAACAGCGCCAUCAAGCUCGACCUGCUCCGAAUGAACGUCGCCGCGAAGAAGAGGAACACCGACAUGGCUUUUCUGAUGGGUGGGGCGGACAUGCUCCAGAGCAACAACGAGCAGCUCAGGGCGUGGUACAUGGCGGAGCGCGGCCUCAUCCUGAACCAGAUGCAGACGACAACGCCGACGACGCAAGCUCCCGCGCCCGCGACCACACGGACGCCAAGCCCAAAGGACGCCUCUACAUCACCGCCCAGCAGUGCCGAAGCCGCGCCGACACAGCCCAGCACCGAAGUAGCUCCGACACCGCCGAGCCCGCGCACGCCGACUCCGCCAACGCCGACUCCGCCAACGCCUGGAGCUGACCCCGCCGAGUGAAUCAUUGCGCACGCAAACUUGCGGUGUGCGGCGCUCUGUUUUUUGUAACGCCAGACUACGUCCGAUCGCCGGAUUUGUGGCGUCUUUUGGGAGCGGGAACGACCAAGUUUAAAUUUCCCGCAUCCUGGGGCCGGCGCUUGGGGGCGUGACUGGGAGCUAGGUCGCCCCCAUGGGCCGAACUAGCGCCGGCACGCUCCCAGGCCGCUCUAUUUAGGCGCCCUGGGGGGCCGAACGGCUGGAGAUGCCCUUACUGCAUUGGGUUUGGGUGGCGGUGGAAGUCACCUUCAGCGGCCCGACACUAGGCUUUCCCUGAUGAUUUUUAAUCUUCAUUUUUAGAAUGGUGGUUUAUGGGUUUUCUUUGGGCAAAAAAAGGGUUAAACCAUGAGUUAAUUAUCUCCUUGGAUUCUUUUGUACUGAAUCCUUUGAUAGUUUGCUUACUAUUGUAUUAAUGCCUACCACAAGCAUGGGCGAACCCACCAUAAUACAUUGAUAUUUACAUGAAUACCCUUUUUUGGUGAAAAAUAAAUGUGCGUACAUCGGUUUAACAUUAAAUAAUAAAUGAAUUACUAAGUCUUGUAAAGGAAAGACAUAGUAUAUUCGGUAGGAGCAUAAGGGGGGAUGUAUUAGAUUCAAUUUGUUUUUACAUUUCUUUCUUUUAUUUAGUUUGUGAGUCUCUUUUGUAUACAUGCUAAAAACCACGUCUCCGUGCGAAAGGUGUUUCUCAAUAAGGCAAAAUAGACAUUUUCGUUGCAAAAACAUUUAUAUGUACUGUUUUUUAAUGGAGUCUAAAUUAUGAACUUGCAUUUGUGUGAACCUAUAAAUAUGGUAUACAUAGAUCUUGAUAAAUAAAAGCUUCUUUUGUUGUGAGUUACGGUGAACAUGAGGGAUUUUUUUCUCAACCAACCAUGCAUCAUAUGCAAACUUAAAGCCAAAGGUUUUGUUUGCUGGAUGAGAGGUGUUGGAUUCCUCGAGGUUGUGAAGGCUCCAUCUAGUAAUCUUUAAUAUGCAUUGGAAUUGGUUUAUGCCUAGACCAUAAAGUUAGAAUGCAAGUAUGAUCUAAAACCAAUUAAAUGAAAGCUAAUUUACAUAAAAUAUUUAGAAGAUAAUGCAUCAAGUUAGUUGUCUCUAAAGAUAUCCCAUUUCUUAGGAGAGCAUCCUAAGUGACAGUGCAUCAAGAGUUACCUAACAUGCAACAUAUGUGUUGUCAAUGUGUCCUUAUUGAUUUUUUGUAACUAUCCCUAUUGAAUAUUGGUAACAAGUUUAUAGUAAAGUCGGCUUAUAACUUGGCGUUUGAGGAAGUACAUCGUGCUGCUGAAACUUCUUCCAGCUCGGUGCCGUCAGGUCAAAGGAAAUGUUGGAGCUUCAUUUGGAAGAGCCGGUGAAAGCGCGUUAUAUCGACCAGAGGAGGAGUGAAUAGGCGAUUUUUAUGAAAGUCUUCAAAACGUGGAAGUUAUGAAGACAAACGAUAGAAAUAAACCUAUUACCAUGCAGCGGAAGGUAGACUACACUAGGCAAACCAUAGUCAAGUAUUCAAUAGAGUGAAAGCACAAUGACUAAUAGCAGCAAUGUAGUAAGGAUCAGGUAGGAGGAUAUUAUGAAGCCAAACAGAACACGCAGUCACUUAGUGAAGACAAAAGAUAGUGCAAUCAUACAAUGACUUCACAAGGACCAACAGUAAGUAAAGGGAAGGGAAGGAUGAAACCAGUGACUCAUUGAAGACAAUGAUUUGUUGGACCAGUUCCAAUUGCUGUGACAACUGUACGUCUGGUUAGGGCGGCUAGGUAUUUAAACCCGAGGAUACACAGUCCCGGACACCCAGUCCUCACCGUAUUCCCCUUGAGCUAAGGUCACACAGACCUUGCCUAAUCACUCUGGUAAGUCUUCAAGGUAGACUCCCAAACCUUCACAGACUUCGUUCACCGGCAAUCCACAAUGUCUCUUGGAUGCUCAGAACGCGGCGCCUAACCGGCUGGAGGAUUCACAGUCCUCAAGUGUAAUAAGUCUUCAGAUCACACAGACAAGAAGACUUAAGUGAUGCCUAACACUCUUUGGCUCUGGGUGGUUAGGGCUUUAUCCUCGCAAGGAAUUCUCUCUCAAAGGCUUCAAGUUGGGUUGCUCUCAAAUGACAAAAGCCGUACUCUAACUCUGAGCAGCCAACCGUUUAUGGUUGUAGGGGGUGGGCUAUUUAUAGCCACUAGGCAACCCGACCUGAUUUGUCCGAAAUGACCCUGGGUCACUAAGGAACUGACACGUGUUCCAACGGUCAGAUUUCAAACUCAGACGGCAACUUUACUUGGGCUACAAGCAAAGCUGACUUGUCCGACUCUGGACAAGUUUCGCUCUCAUAGUCUUCACUCGAAGACAUAGGUUUUGGUUAAGCAUCACUUCAGUCAUUCUGACUGGUUCACUUGGACCCCACUUAACAGUACGGUGGUUCCUAUGACUCAACAAAGAAGAAACAGAACUACAAAAGAUCUAAGUCUUCGAGCUCCAUAGGCUUCAUGCGAUGUCUUCUCUUGUCAUAGUCUUCAAUGAGAAUAUCUUCAUAUACUACCUUUGACAUCAAUGUCUUCAUACAUUUUUAGGGGUCAUCUCUGGUAGAAAAACCGAAUCAAUGAGGGACUUCUACCUGUGUUAUCCUGCAAUUCUCACAAACACAUCAGUCCCUCAACUAGGUUUGUCGUCAAUACUCCAAAACCAACUAGGGGUGGCACUAGAUGCACUUACAAUCUCCCCCUUUUUGGUGAUUGAUGACAAACUAGUUAAAGUUUUCAACGGGGAAUAUAAUAUGUGAAAUUGUAAAGAAUAAGGAAUUGUCUUCAUAAGUUGCAAGGGCUCCCCCUGAAGAUGUGCAUAUAAGUAAUUUGCUUUUGGAAUGCAAAUGCACAUGGCAGGUUGUGCUUGUGGAGAUCCUCUUCAACUUAUGAUGACAAUCCACUAUGCAUGUGAAGGUAUGUGAAGAUAAUGACAUGCAUAAUGGAAAAUGGACGUCUGCAAAAUGAUCUAAGUGCGGAAUUUAUCAUCGCACAUGCGGAAUUUAUCAUUGCAUCACAAAGUAGCAAAUAAGUAGCAGACGACCAUCGAGUUUAAGUGUUACAACUCAAAGAACCAAAUGUAUCAAAACGAGAGUUGUAGACACGAAGCAAAAUAUAAAGCACCUGCCCAUAUGGACCUGCUUGAAGACUAUCAAACUCAUAUGCUUCUCCCCCUUUUGUCAGGAAGGACCAAAAAGGUUUGAAGACAUAGAGCAUCUACUCGUUCCCAUGAAGAGUAGGUGAAGCAGCAGGGUCGUCGGUGGUGUUCGGCGGUGCAGAAGAACUUGGAGUAGUUUCAAAGCAUGCUGAAGGAGGUGGCGGUGAAGUGGCAUCGUCUUCAUCCUCGAUCACUCUGGCAUUCACAGUUGCAGCAGAGGAAGAGAACUCAGAGUCUUCGAGAGAUGGAGUUCGUCGCAGCACGGCCCUUCGAGGAGGUGUGGAGUCAAACUUGAAGCGUUCAGAGAAGUCAUCCUCUUGAAGAUCAUCUUCAGAGCACAUCAGCGUCAGCCCUUUCCAUGUGCGUCGAGAGGUUUCAUGGGCAACAAAAGCAUUCUUGGUGGAAAGAUUGCGAAUGCGGUUGACAUCCACCAAGAGGCUUUGCAUUUGGCGCUUCAACCAGUCAUGAUGCCUAUCCUGUUUCUGAUGAAGAGCCACCAGAAGCUCUCGGUCAUUAAGAACACGAGUGCGCUUCUUGGGUCGUUGGGCAGUUGUGCUGUCGGUGGCUUCAGUAAGGGCAGGAUGUGGUGCACGUGUAGUUCCAGCCAAAGGAUAUACACGAGUGACUGCUUCAACUCCUUCAAUGUUCUGAGAGAAACUUUGAUGCUCCGCAUUCUGAAGACUUAGAGGUUCCUUGGCAGGCUCAGGAUAAAUGGCUUCAAUAGACAUAUCCACAUCGGGCAGAAAGAUCCGAUGAUUGCGAGUAGAUGGCUGAUAUAAGAUAGCGGAGUGGAGUUUGAUCAGCCGCAUUAUCCAUGGAGCGUAGAACUUCAAGCCAAAAAGAUCAGAGCCUGAUGCAGCAAGUUGGCAGAUGAAGAAGUCCUGUGCAUUGAAGCAUUUGCCAUGAAGAAUAUAGAAGACCAAGGUCUUCAUUGCACUUUCCAGCUUGGCAUGUGGAGAGUGUCCUUUGAUGGGCCAGAGAGUUCGCCUUAUGAUGUGAUAAAUAGUCCUUGGCAGAUACUCAAGGUCUUCAACAAAGAACUCUUUGGGAUAUGCAGCAUCUUGGGGCAAUGGCUUCAUCAUACUGAGCAUCUGACUCAUGUUGGGUUCAGGCUUCUAAAAGAUGCUUUCCAUAGCUUCACUGUGAAUCUAACAGCCAGUUUCGUAGAGAUCGCCAGGAGUGGGUAGACCAGUGAGCUCAAUGAUGUCAAAGGCUUUGGCUUCGUGAUGAACGUUUCCUGUCAUCCACUCCAGGACCCAAGUCUUCGGAUCUCUGUUGUACCCGCGGAUGUGAAGUGUGGCAUAGAAUUGGAGCAUCGACUCUUCAUUCCAAUGCUCUUGGUCGGUGACGAACGGCAGCAAUCCAACCUCUUUGAAGCAAUCAGAGCUUCUUCCAGGCAGGGCAGACCAACUAUUGCUUCAAUGUCAAGACGCUUGUGUGAGAAGAUGCGACCUUGAUUGUAUAAAAUGCAGGAGUAAUAGCUUCACUAUGGAUAGCUCCAGAACCAAUCAUAUGAUAUUAUUUCCCUUGAGUAGGGGUUCCUGGAGCUAUUGAAGAAAGUUUUGUCUGCUCUGAAGCCAUUGACAUUGAAGGAUCCAGGUGCUGAUGCAGGACCUGGAAACCUGGGCAAUCUUGGGAUUGGCUUCUGUACCUGAGGCCUGUGCUCAACAUGAUAGUCGAACUGAGGGCCAGCAGCAGGCGCAGGAACAGAAGCAGUGGGAUCAGUGGCUUCGCUGACUUCUGGUGCUUGGGUUGGUGAAGGCUCCACAUUAGCUUCAGCCAUGACAGGUCAGUGGCUUCAUUGGUGUUGGUGGUGGCAGCCUCAAGAUUCUCAACCUCCACUUGACGAGCUGGAGGGUCGGUCACAGUCACGUUCUCCUCAAGAACAGCUUCUUGGUGGGAUGGGGGAGUAGCAGCUUUUGGGGUUUCUUCUUCAUCGGCUGAUGCAGCCGGAAUGUCUUCAGCAACUGUAGCUUCAGACUCAGAGACUGGAGACCUUGGUCCUUUGCGAAGCCUGCAUAACGCUGGCGACGCCUGUGGAGUUGGAGUUGGCUGGGCCUCAAAGUCUUCUUCCUCUUGUGCUUGUGGGCGAUCAGCCCAUGAUGCAUCCUAAGCAAUUGGCGUAAGAGGACGACCAAUGCUGACGAGUUCACUGUGCGUUAGCACAGGCGAUGAUACCUAUUGGUGCUCGAGCUGAGGAAGAACUGCAUCAUCUUCAACAUGGUCAUGGUGACCAAUGUCUUCAGCAGCGAUGGGAUUAGCUGCUGGAAAGUCUUCAGCUUCAUGAGCCUCUAUGAAAGCAGGCUCAUGGACAGUCAGUUGACGUUCUUGAGGUUCAGCGUCAGGGCGAACCAUGGAGAUGGGUUCAACAAUCAAGGGCUCUAUGGUAGCAGCCCGUUCCUUCUUGGUCUUCCGCUUCUUCUUGGAGGGGGCAGUAGCAGAGGCUUCGGGAUGUUUCCUCUUCCUUGAUUUAGCCUCAGCAGUCCUCGUCUUCUUCAGCUCUGAAGCGGUUGACCGGCCUUUGGCUUCAAGCCAUUCAUGCUAGUUGGGAAGACAAUGGGAUCUGCUUCCUGCCUUGGUGCGUUGGGUUCGGCCACAGUGGGCUUCUUCUUCUGCUUAGCAGCCAUCCUGGGAUCAAUGCACAGACGCCCAAGGGCCUUGCGCUUCUCAGCCUCGUUGUAGCCUUGUACACACUUGUCAGCCAGGCUCUUCAUGCGCUCCCGAGAACCCUGAGCUUCUGCGCGUUUCUUGAGAAAGGCUUCUUUGAGCUCGUGCAGCAUAAUCUUGAAGUUUUUUACCUCUUAAACGCUGAGCUUGGCCAUAUGCUUCUUGAACUGAGCUUUCUCAAAGUCAAUCUUUUGCUUCAGUUUAACAAUGCGCUAGGCGAUAGCUAAUUCUGAAGCAAUGGCGCCAUGGAAGGUGACACUGAAGCCAAUUGGUAGUUGCAGAUCUUCGAAGCUGAUGUUGGGCGUGUCAAACCACUCAUCAAUGAAGUUGUGGAUGAUUUUCACGUCAAAGAGAGGCAGAUCAUUGAAGAUUUCUGCUUCUUCUUUGCUCUUGAUGAGUUGCUCAAGAGCGUCAUCUGCAAGAUCUUCAUCACUGGACAGAUCAAUGGCAUCGUUUCGCAGAAUGGCAGCAGCUGUCAGUUCUUGGCCGGUGUGUGGCAGAGGCCUCUUUACCUUCUGGGGCUUGGAGAUGCGUGACAAAUCUUCAGACUGCACACUGUCUUCAGGAGGUGCAGUGGCCAGUGGCUUCGCCCGUGAGAUUUUUGGUGCAGAGGUAGGCUUUGAAGCUUUUGGCUGCUUCAGCUUCUUUGGCUUCGGCGCUAUAGGCGCUUCAUCUGAUUCAGCGUCAUCUGCAGGCUCAUUCACGGCAGUCCCUUGAACCACGAUACGGGUGAUGAGACCUUCAAGGUUGUAGAAGGGCCCAAGAAGAUUGGGUUCAGCUUCGCGAGUUCCAUCAGCACGGGGAGCAGAGGGACCGGGGUUGAAGUCUAAUCCCAAAGACUUCUUGUUCUGCUUUGCUGAGUUCUUGGCAAACUAGAAGUUGUGCUUGAACAGAUUGUCGUCACGGCACCAUAGUAGUGACGAUGGGUGUGCAUCUGCAGGCUAUGGCCCACGGACCAUGCAGGGAUAGAAGCCUUGUUCAAUGGCUUCUUCUCUGGACCUGGGUUGAAGAUUCUUAUAUAGGAUGUCUCCCCACAGUCGCUUGAUGGCAUUUUUCUCAGCAUAUUCUUGGGUCACAAACCGGUAUUUGAACCAUUGUUCUGCCCAAUAUCUUCGAAUCCACUGGAUUCGGGUCUUGCACUGAUUAUAAUCCUCUUCAGGAUCUGUCUUGUAGAGUUCUGAGAGGUCAUCAGGCAGAUCUCUUGAUGUUCCGCCACGACACUGUCUGCCUCCCUUCCUUGCAGAUUUCUCUGAAGUCAUGAAUUUUAAACUGAAAGGCUUCAAUACGUUCAAAGGCUUCAAAGGUUUUCGCUUGCUGGACAAACAGGAACUGGCUUCGGGAGAAUUUAUAUGAUGCUGUAAGAAUUCUGCAAAUGAAUGCAGACUAUGAGAACCAAGGGAUUCUCCCACGGACAUGUACCUGUGACAGCAUUAAGGUGCGAGGGAAGGGGAAGAGGUCAUAUGCAUUCUCAGAAGAUUUUGAAGAUAAAUCAGUUUAGAAGACAUUGACCUCAUCAUGCGAAGACAUUCACUCAUAGAUAAGGAGUUGGUUCCAGAUUUGUACGAAUCCAGAGAUCAGUACAAGUGAGGAAUCUAACUACUUUGUGAAGCAUAAGUGAAUAUACUAGGCAUGUUAUGAGAUGCAGUAUGAAAGAGAUCCAACUUGUGUGAAUAGAAACUGCUUGUGGUAGAAAGUGACAAAGCUAUAGGAUCAAAGGGGCCGUAAAAAGGAAGUUUUAUUUACCACACGUAGAACUGCUAGACGGAGUGGAAGAGGAGGUCGAGCAGUUCGAUCGUCCGUGCCCUAACUUGGCGACGGAGGACACCUACGGCGACGGCGGAGAGGACGAUGUCCGCGGUUGGCGUGAGGACGGCGUCGGAGAGGUUGUGGCAGCGAAGCGCUUCGUCGAGGGCUAGCGGUGGCGCUAGGGUUCGUGCGAGAGUGGAAGAAGAGAUAAUGACUGCGGUGAGGCGUGUAUUUAUAGGUACAGGGGCGACUCAGUGUUAUUACACAGGUGCCCCUGGUGAUUCACAUCUGAGGAACACGUGGCCAUCAUGCAGCAUGUCAGAGGCUGUUCCACGUCCCACGCACACCUGGAUUGUCGGGUGGUCGUUCCCACUUCUCCGGGUUUCAGGUGAAGGAAUGAGCAUUGAAAACAGACUUAAUGUUUGUCUCUGUAUCUUCUGCUGACAAGGACGCAGAGAAGACAUUCGACAGUUUCAAUAGAAUGCAUAUGACUUGGAGAGAUAGAGUUUGAGAUAGAAAGCAUAGAGAGAUUAGGGUCCGAUCACAUUCACUUAGUUCAAAAGAUUCAACAAGAAGACAUAGCUAUAAGUGAACGCUGUAGAGGACAGAACAUUAGUAUAUAUAUAUAUAUAUAUUCAACAUAGUGAAGAUAAUCAUGAAGACAUGUUGAGAUUGAAGCCAAACCAAAUGUGAAAACAUAGCAAAUGUAACGCCAUGAGUGAAACACUUCAAACAGAACAUUUGGUGGUGGUGUUACCCACCGUAUAGGAAGUAUUAGACCCAGACACGGCGCACAAUUAUCGUGGCACUCCAAAGUCAAAUUCCACAUUAAUGUAUUCACACUUAGAAUGUAUGUCUUCAUUGAUUGAAGAUAUACUUUACUUCGUGUGUUGCACAUCUAAGUCAUCAAUAUGCAUAAGUGUUAGGAUGUGUGCCUGAUCACAGGACAUUUGAGGAUUCCAAGAUAUUUAGCUCACACCGUAACUUGCAAAAUCUCUUCUCAUCCAAGGGCUUGGUGAAGAUAUCUGCCAAUUGUUCUUCAGUGUUGACGUGUAUGAUAUCAAUGUCUUCCUUCACAACAUGAUCUCUGAGAAAGUGAUGACGAAUUUCAAUGUGCUUUGUCUUCGAGUGCUGAACUGGGUUGUUGGCAAUCUUGAUGGCGCUUUCGUUGUCGCAGUAGAGUAGCACUUGCUUCAGAUGAAUGCCAUAGUCCUUGAGUGUUUGCUUCAUCCACAGAAGCUGAGCGCAGCAAGAUCCAGCAGCAAUGUAUUCAGAUUCAGCAGUGGAGAGAGAUACACAGUUCUGCUUCUUUGAAGACCAACAUACAAGUGAUCGUCCUAGAAAAUGACAUGUGUCUGAUGUAGACUUGCGACCCACCUUGUCACCAGCAUAAUCAACACCCGAGAAUCCAACCAGAUCAAACUCUGAGCCCUUUGGAUACCAUAAUCCUAGAGUUGGGGUGUGAGCCAAAUAUCGAAGAAUUCGCUUCACAGCUAAGUGAUGCGACUCCUUUGGUGCCGCUUGGAAUCGAGCACACAUGCAAAUACUAAGCAUAAUAUCUGGCCUAGAUGCACAUAGAUAAAGUAAAGAACCAAUCAUGGAGCGGUAUACCUUUUGAUCGAACUCUUUACCAUUGUCGUCGGGACCCAGAUGAUGUUUGGCUGGCAUUGGCGUUGUGAAGCCUUUGCAGUCUAGCAUAUCGAACUUCUUCAGGCAAUCUUUGAGAUACUUCUCUUGAGAUAUGAAGAUGCCGUUGCGUUGCUGUCGUAUUUGAAGACCGAGGAAGAACUUCAGCUCUCCCAUCAUGGACAUCUAAUAUUGCUCUUGCAUCAUAUAUCCAAACUCUUCACUGUACUUCUGAUUGGUGCAGCCGAAGAUGAUGUCAUCCACAUAUAUUUGGCACACAAACAGUUCACCAUCAUAUGUCUUCGUGAAGAGAGUGGGGUCGAGGGAACUAGGUAUGAAGCCUUUGCUCUUCAGGAAGUAUUUGAGUGUGUCAUACCAAGCCCGAGGGGCUUGUUUGAGGCCAUACAGUGCCUUGUUGAGCUUGUAUACCAUGUCAGGAUGUUUUGGAUCUUCAAAGCCAGGCGGUUGUGCAACAUACACUUCUUCUUCAAUCUUGCCAUUGAGAAAGGCGCUCUUCACAUCCAUUUGAUAUAGAAGUAUGUUAUGAUGAUUUUCAUAGGCCAACAGUAUGCGUAUGGCUUCAAGUCUAGCCACAGGAGCAAAUGUUUCAUCAAAGUCAAUGCCUUCCACUUGAGUAUAUCCUUGAGCAACGAGACGAGCUUUGUUUCUGACAACUUGACCAUGCUCAUCUUGCUUAUUGCGGUAUAUCCAUUUGGUGCCUAUUAUGUUGUGCUUCCGAGGAUCAGGACGCUUAACCAGUUCCCAUACAUUAUUUAGCUCAAACUGUUGAAGCUCUUCUUGCAUAGCUUGAAUCCAUUCAGGCUCCAUGAAGGCUUCUUCAACUUUCUUGGGUUCUGUUAUUGAGACGAAUGCGAAGUGCCCACAGAAAUUUGCUAGAUGAGUUGCCCUUGAACGAGUGAGGGGACCAGGUGCAUUGAUGCUAUCAAUUAUUCUCUCAAUCUACACUUCAUUGGCAACACGAGGAUGUACAGGGCGAAGAUUUUGCUCUUGCUGAUCAUUGUCAUUGUUAGUGGGAUUGUCUUCAGGCUGAGCAUUGUCUUCAGGUUGAUCAGGUGCGGAGAUGAUAAGUUCCUCUUCAGGUUGAGCUUCAGAGGGUAUGAUUUCUCCAGUUCCCAUUAGCUUGAUUGAUUCGCUGGAUGGAACUUCAUCUAGCACAUUUGGCAUGUGCUCUCUUUGUGAACCGUUAGUCUCAUCAAACCGCACAUCCACUAUUUCAACCACUUUAUAAUGAAAGAAUUUGAAGACUCUGUAGGAGUGCGAAUCCUUUCCAUAUCCAAGCAUAAAACCCUCAUGUGCUUUUGGUGCAAAUUUUGAAGUGUGAUGUGGAUCCUUGAUCCAGCACCUGGCCAAAUACUCUGAAGUAACUGACAUUUGGCUUCUUGCCAGUAAGGAGCUCAUAAGAUGUCUUGUUCAGAAGCUUGUGAAGAUAAACAUGAUUGAUUGUAUGGCAUGUAGUAUCAAUGGCUUCAGGCCAGAAUUUUCUUGGAGUCUUGUAUUCAUCUAGCAUCAUUCGGGCCAUCUCAAUGAGUGUUUUGUUCUUGCGUUCGACGACGCCAUUCUGCUGUGGCGUGUACGGAGCUGAGAAUUCAUGUGUGAUGCCCAAAGUAUCAAGAUAUGUAUCAAGGCCAGUGUUCUUGAAUUCAGUGCCAUUGUCACUUCUGAUGUGCUUUAUCUUGGCGCCAUAGUUGUUCAUUGCUCGAUUGGCGAAGCGUCUGAAGACAUCCUGCACUUCAGUCUUGUAGAGGAUUAUGUGCACCCAAGUAUAUCUAGAAUAAUCAUCAACAACGACAAAGCCAUAGAGACAAGCAGUAGUAGUAAGAGUUGAGUAAUGAGUGGGACCGAAAAGAUCCAUGUGGAGCAGUUUGAAGGGUCGAGCGGUUGUCAUGAUUGUCUUCAAGGGAUGUUUGGCCCUCGUCAUCUUUCCUGCUUCACAGGCACCGCAUAAGUGAUCUUUCUUGAACUUGACGCCCUCGAUGCCUAUGACAUGCUUCUUCUUUGCAAGGGUGUGGAGGUUCCUCAUGCCAGCAUGCCCUAGCCUCCGAUGCCAGAGCUAGCAUUCUGAAGCUUUUGCUAGAAGACAUACGGCAAGCUGUGGUCCUGCUGAGAAAUCUACCACGUACAAAUCAUCUUUCUGAUACCCUUCAAACACUAGAGACUUGUCAAAUUCCAUUAGAACAAGGCAGCGAUAUUUUCCAAACAUUACGAUCAUGUUCAAAUCGCAAAAUAUUGAGACAGACAUUAAGUUGAAGCCAAGGGAUUCAACAAGCAUGACUUUAUCCAUGUGUUGAUCCUUUGAGAUUGCAAAUCUACCUAGACCCAAUACCUUACUUUUACCAGUGUCAGCAAAUGUGAUGUGACUCUUGUCGGAUGGACGUAAGGUUGAGUCCAUAAGAAGGCUUCUUUUGCCAGUCAUGUGAUUGCUACAUCCACUAUCAAUAAUCCAUUCGAAGACGCUGGUGUCGUACCCUAAAGUGCAGUUCGGGGGAUAAGCUUCACGAAGAGAAUUGUGAAGCAAAAACAUUUGACGAACCAGUGGGUUAUGAAAGCUUAGAUCCAUAUUAGGACUAAUAGGGAGAGUAGCAAGCGAUUCAGGAACGAAGUACAUAGUAAGACCAUUCGGGCAUUUGAUCUUGCGCCCUACAAGAUGUUUAAGGUCCCCAGCAAUAGCGUCAGACGAUUUUGGUUUUCUGCUGGAGACCUUUUCCUGCAAAAGAGAGUUAAGCUUUCUUAGCCACCCACAUCGUCAAGGGUGGCUUAGAAGCAAUAAGUCUAAGUGCAGCAUCUGAGAACUUUGGCUUUGGAGUCCUAGCAAACAGUCUUGCAGGUGGACAAUAGUACUCAUAAGAAUAAGCAGAAUAGUUCUUGGUCUUAUGAACAUGGCGGUUUGAUGAACCGCGCUCAUAUUCAUAGGCCUGAGUAUGGUUUCCCUGCAAAACAUUUGCAUUAGUGCGACUCGGGUGAGUCCUCUGUCUGUGUGAAGCCUUUGGACCGUAUGAAGCCUGUGGUAUGGGGUUUGUCUUCUUCACCUGUGGUGUCAUGAUAACAUUCACAGGAAGAUUCUCCAGACACUUUUUCGGUACCCAGAUCUUCUUCAUAGGCGGUCCAUUCCUGCAGUUAGUACCAAUGUACCUGGCAAACACUUCACGAUUUUGAUUCUUAAACAGUUUAUAGUUUGCAUCAAAGGAUUCAUCAAUGACAAUAGGGUUAGCACAAGUGAAGCCAGAUAGAGUGGAUGGAUCUGCUGAAGAUUCCUUUGCAACAACCCAUGUGGUUUUGGGGUACUCCUCAGGUUUCCAGUAAGAGCCAUCAGCAUUCAUUUUCUUUACGAACCCAACACCCUCUUUCCUCGGGUUUCGGUUCAGGAUCUGCCUUUUGAGGACAUCACAUAGUGUCUGAUGCCCUUUAAGACUUUUGUACAUCCCUGUUUCAAGCAAUGUCUUCAACCUAGCAUUCUCAUCAGCAAUAGCAGUGGUAUCCUCAGUAGAGGGGUUAGUUCCCACAUCAACAGUUGAAGAUAUUGCAACAGUAGCAGCAGUAGAACAUUCAGCAACAGAAGUAGCAUUAUCACGCUCAAUGCAUUUAAGGCAUGGUGGUUCAAAUCCUUCCUGAGCGGAACUGAUCUGUUCAGCGCGAAGUGACUCGUUUUCCUUUUGAAGAUCUUCAUGAGCCGCUCUCAAUUUCUCAAGAUCUUGCUUCCUUUGAAGAUAAUCAUAGGAAAGCUUUUCAUGAGUUGUUGAGAGCGUUUCAUGACGACUUUCAAGUUCCUCAUACUUAACGUGAAGAUUUUUUAUGUCUUCAAUUAAGGACUCAGAUCGAGUCAUUUCAGCGCCUAACAGAUCAUCGCUUUUGUCUAACAGUUUUUGAAUAUGUUCCAUAGCUUUCUGUUGUUCAGUUGCAAUUUUAGCAAGUGUUUUGUAGCUGGGUCUUGAACCACAAUCAGAGUCAUCUUCACUAGAUGUUUGAUAGUGAGUAGUGCGUGUGUUUACCUUGGCACCGCGUGCCAUGAAGCAGUAGGUAGGAGCGGAGUAGUCCUUGUCAUUUGCAUCGGUGUCGGUGAUGAAGUCAUUGUCUUCAGUGUUGAAGAUGGACUUGGCAACGUAUGCUGUAGCCAGACUUGCAACACCAGAAUCGGACUCCUCCUCAGACUCCACCUCCGCCUCCUCAGAAGCGGACUCCUCUGAAUCCAUUUCCUUGCCAACAAACGCACGUGCCUUGCCAGAUGAGCUCUUCUUGUGUGAUGAAGACUUUGAGGAAGACUUGGAAGAAGACUUUGAGUAUUUCUUCUUCUUCUUGUCGUCAGAGUCAUAUUCCUUGCUCUUCUUCUUCUUCUUUUUGUUCUCAUUGUCCCACUGCGGACACUCAGAGAUGAAGUGGCCAGGUUUCUUGCCUUGUGACAUGUUUUCUUCUUGUAGUCAUGAGCAGAAGCUUCAUCAUUCCUUGAGCUUGAUCGUGAAGACUUUCUGAACACUUUCUUCUUGGUGAAUUUUUAGAACUUCUUCACAAGCAUAGCAAGUUCCCUUCCAAUGUCUUCAUGAUCAUCAGAACUGCUGUCAGAUUCUUCUUCAGAUGAGGAGACAACUUUUGCCUUCAAGGCACGAGUUCGCCCAUAGUUUGGACCGUAGAUAUCUCUUUUCUCAGAAAGCUGAAACUCAUGUGUGUUGAGCCUCUCAAGUAUGUCAGACGGAUCGAGUGUCUUGAAAUCAGGACGUUCUUGAAUCAUCAGGGCUAGGGUGUCAAACGAACUGUCAAGUGAUCUCAAGAGUGUCUUGACGACUUCAUGCUUGGUGAUCUCAGUAGCGCCAAGGGCUUGAAGCUCAUUUGUGAUGUUAGUGAGUCGAUCAAACGUGAGCUGGACAUUCUCAUUGUCAUUUCUCUUGAAGCGGUUGAAGAGGUUGCGAAGGGCACUGAUUCUCUGAUCUCUCUGGGUUGAGACGCCUUCGUUGACCUUGGAGAGCCAGUCCCAGACUAGCUUAGAUGUUUCCAAAGCACUCACGCGGUCAUACUGUCCUUUGGUCAGAUGACCACAGAUGAUAUUCUUGGCAGUAGAGUCCAGUUGAAUGAACUUCUUGACAUCAGUAGCAGUGACACCUUCUCCAGCCUUGGGAACGUCGUUCUUGACGACAUACCAUAGGUCGACGUCAAUGGCUUCAAGAUGCAUGCACAUCUUAUUCUUCCAGUAGGGAUAUUCAGUUCCAUCGAAGACGGGGCACGCAGCGGAGACUUUAAUUAUCCCUACAGUCGACAUAGCUAAAACUCCAGGUGGUUAAACCGAAUCACACAGAACAAGGGAGUACCUUGCUCUGAUACCAAUUGAAAGUGCGUUAUAUCGACUAGAGGGGGGGGGGGUGAAUAGGCGAUUUUUAUGGAAGUCUUCAAAACGUGGAAGUUAUGAAGACAAACGAUAGAAAUAAACCUAUUACCAUGUAGCGGAAGGUAGACUACACUAGGCAAACCAUAGUCAAGUAUUCAAUGGAGUAAAAGAACAAUGACUAAUAGCAGCAAUGUAGUAAGGAUCAGCUAGGAGGAUAUUAUGAAGCCAAACAGAACACGCAGUCACUCAGUGAAGACAAAAGAUAGUGCAAUCAUACAAUGACUUCACAAGGACCAACAGUAAGUAAAGGGAAGGGAAGGAUGAAACCAGUGACUCGUUGAAGACAAUGAUUUGUUGGACCAGUUCCAGUUGCUGUGACAACUGUACGUCUAGUUAGGGCGGCUAGGUAUUUAAACCUGAGGACACACAGUCCCGGACACACAGUCCUAAACACGCAGCUCAGGACACCCAGUCCUCACCGUAUUCCCCUUGAGCUAAGGUCACACAGACCUCGCCCAAUCACUCUGGUAAGUCUUCAAGGUAGACUCCCAAACCUUCACAGACUUCGUUCACCGGCAAUCCACAAUGUCUCUUGGAUGCUCAGAACGCGACGCCUAACCAGCUGGAGGAUUCACAGUCCUCAAGUGUAAUAAGUCUUCAGAUCACACAGACAAGAAGACUUAAAUGAUGCCUAACACUCUUUGGCUCUGGGUGGUUAGGGCUUUAUCCUCGCAAGGAAUUCUCUCUCAAAGGCUUUGAGGUGGGUUGCUCUCAAACGACAAAAGCCGUACUCUAACUCUGAGCAGCCAACCGUUUGUGGUUGUAGGGGGUGGGCUAUUUAUAGCCACUAGGCAACCCGACCUGAUUUGUCCAAAAUGACCCUGGGUCACUAAGGAACUGACACGUGUUCCAACGGUCAGAUUUCAAACUCACGCGGCAGCUUUACUUGGGCUACAAGCAAAGCUGACUUGUCCGACUCUAGACAAGUUUCGCUCUCAUAGUCUUCACUCGAAGACAUAGGUUUUGGUUAAGCAUCACUUUAGUCAUUCUGACUGGUUCACUUGGACCCCACUUAACAGUACGGUGGUUCCUAUGACUCAACAAAGAAGAAACAUAACUACAAAAGAUCUAAGUCUUCGAGCUCCAUAGGUUUCAUGCGAUGUCUUCUCUUGUCAUAGUCUUCAAUGAGAAUAUCUUCAUAUACCACCUUUGACAUCAAUGUCUUCAUACAUUUUUAGGGGUCAUCUCUGGUAGGAAAACCGAAUGAAUGAGGGACUUCUACCUGUGUUAUCCUGCAAUUCUCACAAACACAUCAGUCCCUCAACUAGAUUUGUCGUCAAUACUCCAAAACCAACUAGGGGUGGCACUAGAUGCACUUAUAGCUGGGCUCCGCCCUCUGUGCGUAACUUUGCAUGGCGCCUCUCCACCAAUGCUCUCCCGACAUGGCAGAGGAAACAUAGAAUUGGACUUGAAACUGUGAGCCAGUGCCUGGUUUGUGUUGUGGAGGAAGAAGAUAAUUUUCACCCUUUUGUGCGCUGUCAGCUUGGACGCGACCUUUAUCUUGCCAUGACCAAAGUGUGGGCGAUACCGAAGCUAGAAGAAUUAGUGAAUAAUGGCAAGGAAUGGCUUCUCCAUGUUUUGGCGCCUUUGAACGAAGUGGGGAGAAUGAUGUUGAUGAUGGUUUUUUGGAGAUCCUGGUUCAUCAGGAACGAAAUUGUGCACUCUAAACCUGCACCUCCUUUGGAGGCCUCUGUAAGAUUUCUCCGGAGUUAUGUCGACUCUCUGAUUGGCAUCAAUCUUAACCCCAAGGCGGACGCGAUCAAAGGUAAAGCUUGCAUAGUCUAUGAUAAGCCAGCUCCUGAUUUGAGGACUAACAACGAGGCUGACAGGAAGAAAUGGUGUGCCCCGGAUUUGGGUUGGUUUAAACUGAACACUGAUGGUUCUUUCGUUUCUUCGGAAGUGGCCGGGGUUGGAAUGAUUCUCCGUAAUCAUCAGGGGAUAAUUAGUUUUUCAGCUUGCAGAUCUCUGUUCUCUUGUCGUGAUGCCCUCGAGGCGGAGCUUUGUGCUUGUAUGGAAGGUGUUUCUCUGGCGUUACAACGUUGUGAUCUUCCAAUAGUGGUGGAGCUGGAUUCCAAGGAGGCCGUGACCAUGAUUUCAUGUGAAGGCGUCGAUCGUUCAGUCUAUGCCCCCGUUGUGCAGGAGAUUAAGCACUUGCUGUCCCUUAGACAAACUUGUAUUACUCAUGUUUCUCGAUCCCAAAAUAAGGCUAGUGAUAGUUUGGCAGUGUUUGCUAGAAUUCAUGGCAGGACUAUGACCUGGCUAGGGUCUGGUCCGGAGGAGACUCUGGUGAUAGUAGCUGAUGAUGGUAAGGACCCCUUGAUUGAGUAAUACAAGUUUCUCAUUCGCAAAAAAAGGUAACAAGUGUAUAGUAGGUUCUGCUUUAAGACAAAAAUGAAUGAGAUCGUGUCUAUCACAACUGGAGAUUGGGUGACCCCAUUAAGUGACAGAGAAUUUCAUCCAUGAUCUGCAUGGGCCCUCCUGGUACCCAGUAAUAUAGCAACCAUAGGCGAACUUAGUGCAUUGGGUUUGGGUGGCGGUGGGAGUCACCUUGAGCGGCCCAUGAGGCACUAGGCUUUCUCUGAUGAGAAUUUUUGUCUUCAUUUUUAGAUUGGUGGUUUAUGAGUUUUCACUCGGCAAAUAGGAGGGUUAAACCAUGUGUUAAUUCAUCUCCUUGGAUUCUUUUGUACUGAAUCCUUUGAUCGUUUGCUUACUGUCGUGUUAAUGCCUACAACAAGCAGGAGCGAAUCCACCAUAAUACAUUGAUAUUUACAUGAAUACCCAUUUUUUGGAUGAAAAAUUAAUGUGUGUACAUCGGUUUAACAUUAAAUAAUAAAUGAAUUACUAAGUCUUGUAAAGGAAGGACAUAGUGUAUUCGGUAGGAGCAUAAGGGAGGUAUUAGGUUCAAUUUGUUUUUACAUUUCUUUCUUUCGUUUAGUUUGUGACACUCUUUUGCUUACAUGCUAAAAACCAUGUCUCCGUGGCGAAAGGAGUUUCUCAAUAAGGCAAAAAUAGACAUUUUCGUUGCAAAAACAUUUAGAUGUACUGUUUUUUAAUAGAGUUUAAAUUAUGAACUUGCAUUUAUGUGAACCUAUAAAUAUGGUAUACAUAGAUUUUGAUAAAUAAAGGCUUUUUGUGUUAUGAGUUACAGUGAACGCGAGGGAUUUUUUUACUCAACCAACCAUGCAUCGUAUGCAACCUUAAAGCCAAAGGUCUUGUUUGCUGGAUGAGAGGUGUUGGAUUCCUCGAGGUUGUGAAGGCUCCAUCUAGUAAUCUUUAAUAUGCAUUGGAAUUGGUUUAUGCCUAGACCAUCAAGUUAGAAUGCAAGUAUGAUCUAAAACCAAUUAAAUGAAAGCUAAUUUACAUACAAUAUUUAGAAGAUAAUGCAUCAAGUUAGUUGUCUCUAAAGAUAUUCCAUUUCUUAGGAGAGCAUCUUAAGAGACAGUGCCUCGAGAGUUACCUAACAUGCAACAUAUGUGUUGUCAAUGUGUCCUUAUUGUUUUUUUAUAACUGUCCAUAUUGAAUAUUGGUAACAAGUGUAGUAGGUUCCGGUUUAAGAUAGAAAUGAAUGAGAUCGUGUCCAUCACAACUGGAGAUUUGGGUGGCCCCAUUAAGUGAUAGAAAAUUUCAUCUGCGAUCUACCAUUUCCACCAAUAUUUCAUAGGACAAAAAUGAAUGAGAUCGUGUCCAUCACAACUGGAUAUUUGGGUGGCCCCAUUAAGUGAUAGAGAAUUUCAUCCGCGAUCUACCAUUUCCACCAAUAUUUCAUGGGACAAAAAUGAAUGAGAUCAUGUCCAUCACAACNNNNNNNNNNNNNNNNNNNNNNNNNNNNNNNNNNNNNNNNNNNNNNNNNNNNNNNNNNNNNNNNNNNNNNNNNNNNNNNNNNNNNNNNNNNNNNNNNNNNNNNNNNNNNNNNNNNNNNNNNNNNNNNNNNNNNNNNNNNNNNNNNNNNNNNNNNNNNNNNNNNNNNNNNNNNNNNNNNNNNNNNNNNNNNNNNNNNNNNNNNNNNNNNNNNNNNNNNNNNNNNNNNNNNNNNNNNNNNNNNNNNNNNNNNNNNNNNNNNNNNNNNNNNNNNNNNNNNNNNNNNNNNNNNNNNNNNNNNNNNNNNNNNNNNNNNNNNNNNNNNNNNNNNNNNNNNNNNNNNNNNNNNNNNNNNNNNNNNNNNNNNNNNNNNNNNNNNNNNNNNNNNNNNNNNNNNNNNNNNNNNNNNNNNNNNNNNNNNNNNNNNNNNNNNNNNNNNNNNNNNNNNNNNNNNNNNNNNNNNNNNNNNNNNNNNNNNNNNNNNNNNNNNNNNNNNNNNNNNNNNNNNNNNNNNNNNNNNNNNNNNNNNNNNNNNNNNNNNNNNNNNNNNNNNNNNNNNNNNNNNNNNNNNNNNNNNNNNNNNNNNNNNNNNNNNNNNNNNNNNNNNNNNNNNNNNNNNNNNNNNNNNNNNNNNNNNNNNNNNNNNNNNNNNNNNNNNNNNNNNNNNNNNNNNNNNNNNNNNNNNNNNNNNNNNNNNNNNNNNNNNNNNNNNNNNNNNNNNNNNNNNNNNNNNNNNNNNNNNNNNNNNNNNNNNNNNNNNNNNNNNNNNNNNNNNNNNNNNNNNNNNNNNNNNNNNNNNNNNNNNNNNNNNNNNNNNNNNNNNNNNNNNNNNNNNNNNNNNNNNNNNNNNNNNNNNNNNNNNNNNNNNNNNNNNNNNNNNNNNNNNNNNNNNNNNNNNNNNNNNNNNNNNNNNNNNNNNNNNNNNNNNNNNNNNNNNNNNNNNNNNNNNNNNNNNNNNNNNNNNNNNNNNNNNNNNNNNNNNNNNNNNNNAACUGGAGAUUUGGAUGGCCCCAUUAAGUGAUAGAGAAUUUCAUCCGCGAUCUACCAUUUCCACCAAUAAUUCAUGGGACAAAAAUGAAUGAGAUUGUGUCCAUCACAACUAGAGAUUUGGGUGGCCCCAUUAAGUGAUAGAGAAUUUCAUCCGCAAUCUACCAUUUCCGCCAAUAUUUCAUUGGACAAAAAUGAAUGAGAGCGUGUCCAUCACAACUAGAGAUUUGAGUGGCCCCAUUAAAUGAAAGGGAAUUUCAUCCGCGAUCUACCAUUUCCACCAAUAUUUUAUGGGACAAUGGCCAUUAAGGAUGUAAGUGGACGACGUCCAUGAGGAAACACACUAACCUUUGUUACUUCGAUAAUCGUGUUAGGCUUAAUUCUCAUAUUGUACAAUGGCCACUCGCGUACGUCUUCCGCUUGCAUGCCUAAUGGCCACUCGCGUACCAUCGUACCUUCGUCAUGAAUCACAUUGGGAAUUUUUAUAUCAUAUAAGACUCGAUCUUUUUUUUCUCACCAAGUUAGACCCAACUAUAACUUAGAAAUUUUUUUGACCUUAUACAAUGCAAGGUACUCAGAUAAAUAAACUAGUUUUUUUUAAAUAUCGAUGCUUAUUUGUAGAGGAUAGACUCUUAAUUAGACAUCCCUCCGGUAAAGAAAAACACUGAUGUUUAACAAAAACUCGAUUUAUUUUACUAAUCACCUUCUAAGAACAUGACACCUCUCAUCACCAGUCUCAUUCAUUAACAUGACACCUGUGAACCUGUCAUAACUCGAAUUUAAAGCAUUGUAAGGCCUAAGAACAUAUGACACCUGUCAUCACCAAUCUGAACGUACCGGCACCCUCUAUCGUUCGACACCCAGUCGCAAUACGCGUGACAGUCUUGGCUUAUGAAAUACCCAGUCGGAGACUGCAGAGUACCCAACGAGCGCUGAGUGCGUGCUGUGUGAGUGAAUUGCGGAGAGAGAGCGAGCGAGAUGGAGAGAGGCGCCAUGGGCCGCGGCGAGGGGUCGGAGGAGGCGAGGGGCAGGGAGCGGGAGUGGGAGGAGGCGGCGGAGGCGGUGGCGUACGACUCGUGCACCUGGCCGCCGCCGGUGGUGGUGGUGUGCGGCCCCGGCAACAGCGGCAAGUCCGCGUUCUCCCGCCUCCUCCUCAACACCCUCCUCGCAAGGUGAAAUGCACGGAGAAUUCGCCUGUCCUCUCCUCGUCGCAUUCUGCUCUGCUUCACUCCAAAGCAGCUGAAUGUGCACAUUGUCGAAUAAUUUUAGAGGCAGACUUUAAAUUCGAGUUAUUCAUGCUCGGAAAUGGGACGGUGCUGCUUUGCUAAAUUUCAGUAUAAAUAAGCAUUGCAUUUUAGUUUAUAAAUAGUAAAAUUGUUUGACCGCAAUGCUUUGGUAUAUGAUUUGAAUACUUAUUUUAUACACUACGAAUUCAGUUGACAUGCUAUCUGUAUUUACUAUUUAUAGUGAAAAAAGAAUCUGCAUUUGAAAAGCGCAAAAUGGAGUUAGUUACAAAGAUUAUUGAGCUUUGAUUUUGUCGAUUAAACCCUCAUGAAGUAGCUAUGUACCAAUAGUUUUUUACUUUCUUGGUUGUUUUAUGGCUUUGGGAAGUGUGAGAAAGUACUAGUAGUUUUUAUGGGGUCAGCACUAGUCUGGUUGCAUAUAGUUAAAAUGUUGUGCUAGCUGGUAAGUUUGGUUGCACUAGCCUCAUCUUUUUUUUAAUGGGAGAAUAAACUAGUUCAACUGCUAGUUCACACAAGUUGCAUAAUUUGUACAGAUCAGAAUUUUUUGAUUUGCUCUGUUUUAUUUGCCGUUAGCUUAUCUACUUUCAGAUCAGUUCUUGUGAUUCUUUCACUUCAAUUAACAGGUAUAAGAGGGUGGUGUACCUGGAUACCGAUGUUGGCCAGCCUGAGUUCACACCUCCAGGUUUUGUAUCACUUCAUGUACUUGAGGAACAAGCUAAAGGUACAGGCUCAGGGUUUUCAACUUUUAAUUCCCCUUCAAAAUGUUUCUAUCCCUGGCUGAACAUUCUGUUCAUUUUUUUUGAUAAUUCAGAUUUGACAAUGCUAUACCUGCGGGCUCCAAAGAGGUAAUUGUAUUUCAGGAGGUUUAGUUUUGCAGAGUCUUAUAUGGUUUCAUAUAAUAUUUGCAAUUUACUCACCGAACUACCUUUUGGUGCUGCUAGGAACAAUCCUGUGCUUAAUUUAAAAUAGAUUACUGUAUGUGAGAAAGCUAUUUCAUUUGUCAAUUUUUUUUCCUAAAUUUCUUAUUCUAAUAUUGUUAACCAUUCAGGGGUCAAAUUAAUAUUUUGUUCUCUUCCAAGAUAUUAUGAAUACUCAAACAUUAUGAAGUUUGAUUUUCUACCAAUUCUGCAAUAGCUACAUUUACCCGUUAAGAGUCUUAUCUUUAGCACAGUAGUUCAAGUGGCCAUCACAUGAACUAAUAUAUCUAUAUCAGAUACUUACUGAAAUAAACAUAUGUACCAGUUGAUAUUUCAUUGUGUUCUCAUGUAUGGUCUUCUGCAAGCUGUCUAAUACAUUUUCCCCACAUAUUCUAGGUGCUUCUUUUUUGGUGAUGUUGCUGCACACAAGAACCCAAAACUUCUCUUGAGCUACAUCUUUGGGCUUUAUGAUUAUUUUCUUAAAGAACUCUAUCGCUUCAAUGAGGCUGAUAACCCUCACAAAUCAGCUAUACCGAUUGUUAUCAACACUUCAGGAUGGGUGAAAGGUGAGAUUUCAUUGAUUGCACUACUUUGCAUCAAGGUUUGUGCUGGUAAUUCACAUGGCUAAUGUGGAAGGUUGGAGGGGAAAAUAUGAUAGGAUGAGUUUUGGAUUUUGACUUGCAUAAUGGGACAUUCACCUGUAAUACUAAUAUCUGUUAUUGCUAAUUGACUGCAUUUUCCUAUUCUUUUCUCGCAAACGUCCAGUUUCAUGUUGUACCGUGUGAAUUUUAGGCAUUGGACUUCAUGUUCUGUCAGAGAUACUGAGAUACGUAUCCCCAACCGAUGUUAUUCGGCUAAACACCACAGCAGAGGGUAAAAAUUUACCAGGUGGUGCGUUUUGGCUGGAUGCACACAAGGGAGAUUCACAGGUUAAUCUAGUUGAAAUUCGCGCUGCACAGAACUCUCCUCGACAGUAAGUCUUUAACUGUUUUGAGCCCAGUUUCAACAAAAAAACAACUGUUUUGAGUCAUUCAUUUUAAUGAAAUGAUAUAUCUUUAAAUCGUUCUUAUAGUCAUGACUAUGUAAAUGCAGUCUGUUGGUGAAGAAAGAGGCGCGGAUGAUUCGUGACCUCAGACUGAUUGCAUACUUCAGGCAGUGCUUGCCGAGGGACUUUCCUAUUUUCUCUUCUGAUGAUUUAGUGCAAGGCAUUGCUGCUAUAGACCCAUUUCAGCUUCCUAUUUCAAAAAUACAGGUUAUUGAUCUGCACAGCCAGGUGACUGCUUCUCCAUCUAUUUUAUUCUGAUCAUGUAGCAGUGAAGCGUUGCUGAAUACUCCCUCCGUUCCAAAAUAGAUGACCCAACUUUAUACAAACUUUGUAUAAAGUUGGGUCAUCUAUUUUGUAACGGAGGGAGUAUAUGACAAAAUGUUGCUUGUCCAUUUACUCCUUACUGUACUCCAUUUUCCAAACAGUAUAUUUCGUAACAGCGAAACAAAUCACCUUGCAUACCUUUCUGAAUACUGAGCUUUUAGCAACGCCGAGUUUGCAUUCUCCUUUUACACUAGUGCGAAUAAAGAGCCACAAAAGGAUGAUAUCUUGGAUAGUAAUCGGAGGCUCCUUUGAAGCUUCAACAUUGAGCCAAAUCAUCAAAAUGGAUUGGAUUGUGAGUCUUUGGGUCAAAGGAUGCAGGAGACCUCAGUUAUGGUUACAAUCUAAAUGUGUGAAACGUAGGGGCCUCCCCCCUAUGGUUGUUUUGCCAAAAAUAUAUCUGCGUACAUAGUGUCACGUGGUAGGGUAGUAAUGUGCACAAAUCUUAUCUUCUAAGUUGUAGCUAUAAUUUUCCUCAUUUGUAUGUAGAGAACUUAAUGUUUACGCAAUUACUUUUAUUUUGCAUAAAUAAGAUAAACUGCUGACCAGAAUGCUAAUGAAUAUGUACCGCUUGUCUAAUACAACAGAAUAAAACAAUUUACUACUUGCAAAAUUAAUCUACCUAAAUAAGUCGACAUAAUGCAGUGGUAGUUUAGCAACUUACAGUUUCAAAUGGUAUAAAACAGUUUGGGCAAAUUAACUCUUAAUUCCAGUUCAUUAUGUGUAGAUAAAACUUAUUUGGUACGGACUAUCAAUGCUCAGAAUAUUGAUUUUGGGGUCUGUCUAUUAAUAUAGUUUCUAUGGGUGUUCUUGUAUAGAUUUCUGGUGAUUCAGUAUAUGACUUCUUGGCUGGUACUAUCGUCGGUAUUGGAUCAAGUUCAUCUGUCCCUUUGUCAACGGAAUGCUCAUCCCCUUGGUGCAUGGGACUUGGUAUGUAAGAUUUAUUCUUUCCUUGUUUAGUGUUUUUGUUAAAGUAAACUGAUAAGACUAACUAAUUUAUUGUAUGUUACUGGUCUCGUGCUGAGUUGGACAUUAGGUUUCGUCAAGGCUAUUGAUAUUCCAGGAGACUGCAUUCAUCUGAUAACACCUGUUCCUCAUCAGCUUCUAGAAAAUGUUGACAUCAUUUUUCCAAGUUGUAUCGCACUACCCGACGGCCUCUUUCAGGUAAUAAACAGUCGUCAGAAUUAUAUUUCUUUGUUUUUCUCUGCAAGCAUGGACUACUGUUUAAACUUCCUUAUGAUUGUAUAUUAAUCACCACAAGGGCAAAUAAAUUACUGCUUAGGAUGUGAUAGCCAAAUUCUUGGUUAGUUGUAUUCUCUUCUCGAGAAUUACCAUUGCCUACAAUUGAAUAUAUUUCCGGAAAUUCCCAAGGUCAAUAUUUCCGACGCCUUUAAAUUGUGCAUAUGUCCCGUCCAGGCACAUUUUAGCCUCUUUUAAUUGAUGAACCAUGUUUUGAGUUGGGAAAUCUAGCCGCAUGAUCCUGCAUCAGUAUUGAUUUUGAACUAAAACCAUGACAGUUAUUUUGGAAUUGAUGGAGUAACACAUAUGCCUUUGACGCAAUGCCUCUCCUCUCCUUUUGAUCAUGACAAAGUAUCUCUAGUUCCAAUAUUUCAACCUGCUUCCAAAAGCAUUAGGGAUUGAUGGGGCCUUUCCCACGCACUAAGGUUCAGUCCAUCGCUAGGACCAUAUGGUCAGCUAGAAUGGUACUCCACCUAUGAAAACACAGUGGAUGACCACGUGGAACAAAAAAACUCCACUUCUCCACCUACACUCUGCUGAACUUGUGCUUGUAUGUGUGGAGUACGAUGGAUCUGUUAUUCCAUCGAUGCGUCUCAUGAUCCGUUCUCACUCGAACCUUGUACUUGCAGGUGCCAAACACAGUGGAUGAUAUAACUGCCAGGCUGAGAGAUCUGUAGAGACCUGCAGAUGUCUACAAACAAUUAUGACCGUCGGGGAUAAGCAACUUCACAUAUCUCGGUUGCCAUGAACAACCAGCCUAUGAAAAAACAUCACUAUACCUUUGACAUGUAUGGAACUUCAUAUCAGUGUAAUUUCUGCCAAACUGGCCUUGAACAACCUGAUCAGAUUACACAAGUUGAUGGCCAGGACAAAGACAUGUACUGUAUUGCAAUCUCGUCCUGUUACUGAACCUGUAAUUUUUAUUUUGUUUUAGUAUACAGAUGUCGUAUGACAGACUAACAUUACAUGUCCUGGAAAUAUGUCUAGCUAUCCUUGUUGCCUACAUGGCUACAUUAGUAGAGUCCACCACGCGAUCUGAAUUCUCCCAUCUUUCUCCACAGUUGCUAGCCAUGCAGCAGAUUGUAUGGAUGCCGCAAAACUAGCUCUACAAAAGAGGGGAAACGAACAUAGCAUGACCCAUUCUUAUGCAGCUGCACAUACCUUUAGAGAACUAUAACGUGAAAGGAAAAUAACAGAAGAAUUGUGGAAAGAAAGGAGAGAAAAUAAAACAUCAUCUAGAAAUCUGUCACUUCUGUUAAUGGCCGAAGCCAUUCAGCUGAACACUAAUGUUGAUUUAUGGAGUCUGUACAGUAUGAUGCAAUGUAUCCAUGGCCGGAUUCGCCAAAAACUAUCUGCAAUAACAAUCAAGUCGUCAGAUCAAGUGAUGAAAAGCAUGAGAAGCAACAGGGAAAACAUAAUCAUUAAAAUAAGCAAAUCCUAUUUCCAUCUGAAAGAAGUAAUUAAUCAAGCAAGCAGACUAAAAUUAACUGAACAUGUCAUUAUGGCUCCAAACCAGAAACAUAAUGGAUGAAAUUAGGCAGCUUAAGAAUGAUGCAUCAAGCAAUGGCAUAAAACCGUUCUUCCCACUUGACAACAGAAAGGGAAUUAAAGUACGGCUGAAAAGAUGAUCAGGCGCAUUUUAGAACAAUCUACACAAGUAAAUUGUUUCAUCUGCUUCGGAAGAAUAAUUAGAAAGUUUAUCAUAAACCUACACAAAGGGCGCUUUAGAUGCACGCAGUUCCAAAUUAAUGUCGGAUAAAAAGGAUUUGGGUAUAGUUUCCCUUGUGACGGCCUAGGGCGUGGCGGUAUUUGUGAUGUUUCUGCUUGGGACACAUUUUAUUUGGCAGUUUGCUGAUUGAAGCUAAUGCUCUUCAGGAAUAGCUAUUCCAGCUGGUGCCACUGAGAUGGUGAAGUAUCAGAAUGCUUGAUUCAGGAAUUCAUGGUGAUCGGGGCUGAGUAUGGCAAUGCCAUUCAGUUUUAGCACAGUAGAUUAGCUAUUACCUCCUGACAAUUGUAUCGGAAAUUAAUAAGCCAUUACUAGCUAAUGGAAACAAAAUGUCAGAAUCCAUCAUCUAUGUACCAAUGCCUAAAAGAUUGAACCGCGGGAACAAGGGUAUGUCUGACAGGACUAACAGAAGUGACUUGGGAAAAUGUAUCACUUCUCCCUAAUACAGCAUAACCGAUCUAGGUAAAACUAGUCUGUAUAAAGUCUCUCAUUAGCCUCUUGUUAGGUACUACUACAACAACAUAUUUGCCAAACACAAAUGCCAGAGCAAAUUAACACAUAGCCGGGUAUUUUAGGAUACAGAGCAGGGAGGGUAAUCAACAAAGGUGUCCGCAAUCGCUUGAUAUCAAAAACUGUGCAAGAAAAGAAGACAUGGAAAGAUUCAGAGAAACUAGAGCAGAGCACCUGCACGAAGGAAUGAAUCAGAAGGGAGGACCCGGAACGAGAUUUUUCACCCCACAACGAAGGGGCCGAUCUCCCCGGCACGCAUGCCGCGGGCGAUCUCGUUGGCGACCAGCAGGCACGCCGACACCCACCCGGCGAGCACCGCCCACACCAUGUCCACCAUGUACGCCGCCAGCCCCCGCGGCAUGGUCAUCCUUUCCCUUCCUUGCUCUGCCUAGCCUUCCCUCCUUACUCCGCUGGCGCUGCCGCUGCAGUUGCAGAGGAGGUAGGCAAUUCCACAAACACCUAGCCUGCAGCUUUGAAGACACGAAAUGAAGACCGGGAACCGAAUCAAAGAGGGGAUAGUAAAAGUAAAUUGCCUCUUCACCUUGGUGAUGGACCGGAGCGACCCCCAAGCAGCACGCAACCGACGCCGGAAUCUUGAACGGAGCACGGAGACCGAGUGUCGGCCUUCGCUUUAAGCACCACCUGACGUAGGGCAGCGGCACUCGGCGGCGGCUCCUCCAUCCACCAUCGGCUCCUUGAUCAAGAGGCAACUCGGUGGGUGGAUGUUCUCUUCUUGCUUUUGCCCGUCUCCUCGCCAGCCUUGCAUUCCGUGUCCGCAUCGCCUCGCAGGGGCAAACGGGGGAUCGCCACGUGGUGGAGAAGCCGGAGCUUUAUCCAAUCAUUUAUCGGUUGGAUUUUAGUGGUAAUACUACCAGAUUAGAGAGGAAGGAGGAUUUGGAUUUGGGCAAGGCGUCACAAGUGAUUAGCAUCAGCAAGAGCCCAUGAUUGCGUACAAGCGAGGGGAUCUUGACAUUGACAACGACAUUGCCAGUGGUUUUACCAAGACCACGAGCCGGCUCAGCCGUAGUUUAUGGGACCAUGUCAAUCUUUAGAUUUCGGCCGACCUUUAGUGCCAUACAUGUGAUACUCUAAUGAUCUAAACGAUCUUAUAUUUCUUUAUAGAGAAAGUACUCCCUCCGUCCCAAAAUUCUUGUCUUAAAUUUGUUUAGAUACGGAUGUAUCUAAUACUAAAACGUGACUUGAUACAUCCAUAUCUAGACAAAUCUAAGACAAGAAUUUUGGAACGGAUGGAGUAUAUUUUUAGAUAGGGAGUACUCCCUCCGGUCAUUUUUAGUUUGCAUAUAAGAUUUGACUGAAGUCAAGCCUCAUAAAGUUUGACCAACUUUAUAGAAAAAAGUACCAACAUUCAUAAUCUGAAAUUAAUAUCAAUAGACGUGCCAUGACUUAAAGUUUCAUAUUGUAUAACUUUAGCAUGGCAGAUGUUAAUAUUUUUUCAUAUAAAUACAGUCAAACUUUGUGCAGUUUGACUUCAGAGAAUUCUAAUAUGCAGAGUAAAAAGGACCGGAGGAAGUAUAUGAUACUACAUCUGCCUUGUAUAGUAUUAUAUGCUAUAUCAUCUAUAGCCGGACUCCUUAAUGUCCUCUAUAUGUCCGGACGGUUGACCCUGUCAGUGAAGAAAAUAUGACCCAGCUACACCCCCACCCCCCAAAUCGGCCCUAAAAACUUGGGUUGUUUGGCCUGCUGGUCCGCAUCCUCAUCAUUCGCCUACCCUGGGGGAAACCUGUCCUCGGUAGCCCCGAGUCCUUCAAGCUUUCGCUAGUGGCGCUAACUCCUUUAGAUUGAGGAAGAUUCUGCUGAAAGAACCGACUGCAGAAGGCAUUGGGUCGCCUAUGGAGAGGCCUUGAUGGACUCGAUUAAUACUUAAAGAAGGUAAGUAGGAGGCAGAGGCUUGUGGCUUGUGAUGAAGCAUAUCCUAGUGAUGUCGGAGAACUCCUGAACCUGAGUAGGUGGUUGCCAGUUGUCCUCAAGAGGAAGGUUCUUUUGAUCUUCAUCUUCGGAACCAAGUCUCCGGACUAGGGCAUUCAUAAUGUAAAAGAACAUAACAUGAAGUUGCACAUAUGUUUAUGACCCAUUCUUAUGCAGUUGCACAUAUCUUUAGAGAACUAGUAUAAUGCAAAAGGAAAAUAAAUUAUUUACAUUACUACACAGAACAGAAGAAUUGUGGAAAGAAAGGAGAAAGAAAACAUCAUCUAGAAUCUCUGUCACUUCUAUCAAUGGCCAAGCCAUUCAGCUGAACACUAAUGGAGAUUUAGGGACUCUGUACAGUAUAAUGCAAUGUGUAUCCAUGGAUGGAUCCGCCAAAAAACUACCUGCAAUAACAAUUAAGUCAUCAGAUCAAGUGAUGAAAAGCAUAAGAAGCAACAGGGCAAACAUAACUAUUAAAACAAGCAAAUCCCAUUUCAAUCUGAAAGAAGUUAUUAAUCGGGCAAGCAGAUGAAAUUAACUGAACAUGUCAUUAUGGCUCCAAACCAGAAACAUAAGCAGUUAAUUUAGGCAGCUUAAGAAUGAUGCAUCAAGCAAUGGGCAUGAAACCUUUCUUCCCACUUGAUGACAGAAAGGGAAUUAAAGUAAGGUUAAAAAAUGACCAGGCACAUUUGCAACAAUCUACACAAGUAAAUUGUUCCAUUUGCUUUGGAAGAAUAAUAAAAAUGUUGAUCAUAUGUAAGCCUACACAAGCUAAUGAUCUUCGUGGGUAGCUAUUCCAGCUGGUGCCACUGAGACGGUGAAGAUUUCAAAAGCAUCAAAUGAAUGUUUCAUUAGGAAUUCAGGCUGAUCGGGGCUGAGUAUGGCAAUGCCAUUCAAUUUUAGUACAUUACAGGCCUACAGAAUGACACUCUUUAAAAUGGAAACAAUAAAACUUGGAACGUAGAUUUGUUUUUGAAAAGGUGUAACAUCUAUAGCCAUGGAAGUAACUAUUACCUCUUGAAAAUUGUACCAGAAAUUAAUAAGCCAUGACUAAUGAAAAAAAAAAGUCAGAUUCCAUCAUCUAUGUAAUGCCUAAAAGAUUGAGCCGCAGAAACAGGGGUACGUCUGAGUCAUAACUGAUCCAUGUAAAACUACUCUGUAUAAAAUCUCUCAUUAGCUUCUUAUUAAACGUCUUACAUUUUGAGACAGAGGGGAUACUAGUAUAGAUUUUCCAAACAUAAAUCCCAGAGUAAAUUAACACAUAGCCUGUUAUUUCAGGAUACAGAGCAGAAACUGGUAAUCAAGAAAGGUAUCCGCAAUCGCUUGAUAUCACGAAUUGUGCAAGAAAAAAAAGGACAUAAUAUGGCACCAUAGUUUUCUCUUAGAGAGGAAGCACCGAGUUAUUACUAGCAAAGAAACUAAGAGCAGAAGGUUGAGAGCAGAGCACCUACGUGAAGGAAGGAGUCAGAAGGGAGGAUUUCCCGUUCCCGAAGUGAGAUUCAGCCGACGACGAAGGGGCCAAUCUCCCCGGCCCGCAUGCCGCGGGCGAUCUCGUUGGCGACCAGCAGGCACGCCGACACCCACCCGGCGAGCACCGCCCACACCAUGUCCACCAUGUACGCCGACAGCCCCCGCGGCAUGCCCAUCCUUUCCUCGCUGCUCUCCCUAGCCCUUCCUUGCUUACUCCGCUGCCGCUGCUGUUGCAAUUGCAAAGGAGGCAAUUCCACAAACACCUACCCUGCAGGCUGCAGCUUUGAUGAGAGGACGAGUAAGCAAUGAAGAGAGGAUGACGAGCAAAGGCUGGGUCUUGCCAAGGGCGUUUGCUUCAAUUUCAUCGAAAUGAAAGAGAGAACGAGAAAGCAAUUGCUUGUUUACCUUGGUGAUGAUGAACCGGAGCAAGCUCCUCCAACCAGCACGGACCCUUUGCAAUCAACGGAGGAAUCUUGAACAGAGCCAGUCAGGAAGUUUGUUGUGUUGGCCUUCGCCUUUGCUCCCGGAUUAGUCGCCGGCACAACUCUGCUGUUUGUUGCCCCUCCCCUCGCCACGCGACUGCAUAUGGUAAGCACACAAGAAGAUUGGUGGGUAAGCACGCACAGCUGUGCCCCCUGACGUAGGGCAGCGGCGCUCAAGUGGCAUGCUCCAUCCAUCCACCAUCGGUUCCUUGAUCAGGAGGCAAGUAGGUGGAUGUCUUCUUCUUGCUUUUGCCAACCUCCCAUUCCAUUCCAUUUCCGCAUCGCCUCUCGCUGUCGGGUCCUGGCGACAACGAACCGGAGACCGCCGCGUGGGACCCGCAGCUCUUGCUUUAUCGGUUGAUGAUUACCUGGAUUGGAUUAGUACCAGAUUAGAGAGGCAGGAAGAUUUGGAUUUGGGCAAGUGCGUCACGCUGUGAUUAGCAGGAGCCACCAGGGGAUUCAUUCCAAUUCCAUGAUUGCGUUGCGUGCAAGCAGAGGGGAUCUUGACGACGACGUGCCGGCGGGUUUAACAAGGCCGCGAAAAAUCGAGUCAGCGGCAGAGGGGAUGUUCGAGCGAGGUUUCAUCGGCGCCUCGCUUAGUUUAUCACACGUCGCUGUGAGAUCUCUCGGUCAAGAUUUGAUGGCGUUUUUGGCUGACACGAUGGAUCCUACUAUUAGUAUUCUUGGGGGCAAAGAUUUGCAUUGCUACCAGACCAGUCUAUUUUUACUGAUUGAAGAUCAUCGUACAUAAGUCACAGUUCAAAACGUCGAAACUGCAUUAGCGUGGAUGACAACACAUGGAGCUAUUAGAGCAUCUACAGCCGUGAUUACCAAAUCUGCCCCCCUAUACGUCCGCGGACGCCGGACGCGACAAUGGAAAAAUAUAUCGACAUCAAACGAACAAUGAAAUGCACAUAAACCAACUUCACAUCAUUCAAAAGAUCACCACAGUUCAUCUCCAGACAAGUUCUAAACUUAAACAUCUAAAAAACGAUAAUAUAAACGGAGGAGGAGCGGAUCACCACUUCCUCGCGGGCUCUUCGCCCUUCCGAUCGCCGGCGCAUGGGUUGCUCCGCCAUGUCCCUCUCCCUUGCCCACUGCCUCUCGCGGCGGGCGGCGCGCCUCUGAUUCCGGCGUGCGCGUUCGGGCCGGCGGAGCGGGCACUAGCACCGAUCGUUGCCUUGCGAAGCAGCGGCCGACAGGGAAGGGGAGAUGUGACAUCUCAAUCCCACGUUUAUCUUAUUCGUACGUUUUCAUAUUCCCGCAAUCCGAAGAGGCCCUUACAUGAAAGGCAACACCAAAGCCAAAAGGCUGGAUCUGCUUUGUGAUUGUCACAUUAUAUUCACACACUCGCUCCACCUACCUUGUUCAUGUCACUAGCAUUCAGGGCCGUCUUCAGAAAUUCGGGGCCUCGGGCGAAAACCAAAAAGAAGGGCCCAAAAUUUUGAACAAUUCCUAUAAUAGAAGAAUUAAUAUGCAUAAAGCAGUCUCAUUUUGUUAGAUAAUUUCAAGUCUGUUUUAUUUUGUACAAUAUUUAGACAUAUAUCAAACAAGCAUGCUAAAAAACAGUAAAUGAUAGUGCAACAACAAACUAACCUCAUGUUCUACCAAAGAGGAGCAUCCAUCUAGUCUUCGUGAAAGUAAAUCUUCAAUGAUAUCUUUGUAGUUAAUCUUUUCCGAGAUAUUGUUUUCAAGUGCUGUUGCCGCCAAUCCGUUGAGUAUUAUCUGCAACUCCUUUAUUGACAAAAUUACCAUCAUCAAACCUUUCCAUCAGGAGCAGUCAACCUCUGCUGCAUUAUCAUCACGACCAUUAUCAACAUUCACAUCUGCAGUUUAACUUUCAAAAUCAAGUUGAGUGUCUCUCACAAUAUAUCCAUAAGGGCAUCCGUUUGAGAUUGAGCCUCAACUUCCGGUAGCUUUGCAGCACCAAAUCAUCUUUGUAAUUCUAGUAGACAUGAUGAAUAUUCAUGAAGAAAACCUAACAUAUUAUAAAUGAUCAAACUGAAUAAAAUUAGCUUCAUAUGGUUAUGAUCUGGAGAAUGACCAGAUCUUCAAAUACAUGAAAAUAAACUGAAAAAAUAACCUGCCACUUGAAGAUUAAAAUACAGUCAGUAGUCCGGACAUGGGCGUGUUUCUGAAUGAUUUUGUUGGUGGUCUUCCUGAUCGAAGCAAGGAACGGCACCACAGUCCGCGGCUGUUGCGUUUUUAUGGCAGCAAGACGAUCAGCCGAUGGGAUCGGAUGGGAUCGUCGUAGGCUACUGCGCCGGCAGGAGCACGACUGCUUAGGGCCUCGCCGUAUUAUUUGCCGAGACGCCGGUAGAAUCGAUCGAUAUGCCUCCUGUCCUGGAUUAAGGCUUCCAGGGCCUCCGAUCAGGGCAUCGGGCCUUGAUCUGUUGUUUGGGCCUUUCCUGUAAUGGUUUUUUGGCGACUUUUAACAAGACGAGGCAAUGAACCAAGCUUUCAUCUUCAGGUUUUUUUUAUCGGUGGAGGCCCCCUGAUUUUGGAGGCCCUGUGCGGUCGCUCACUUCGCUCCCCCUCAUCGACGGGCCUGCUAGCAUUUUCAGGUGACUAGCCUUCAUUGUCACAUUAUAUUCACAUCCGGCUCCACCCACCUUGUUCAUGUCACCGGCAUUUCAGGUGACUAGCCUUCACGUGCGUUCGGUGGGGGUGUUCUUCCUGUCGAAGCAGGCUCGACAACGCCAUUGCAUGGAGUUCAAUUGUGAGGUUGGCUAGACCAGGCUUGACGGCGACCCCAUUGACCCGCUGCGAAGAGGACGACCAGCGGCCGAUCCCACCGAAAAAAGACGCUUGCUAUAGUGCCCGGCUUGCUAUACUGCGCCGGCAUGCUACGACGAAGCGGCCUAGUCGGGAGCACGCCUGUGCUAAGCACCGACUGUUUUGACGCAACGUGUAUCGUAUAGGAGCUCAUGGAAACGAGAGCUCCUAGUCGGCGCUUUAAGCGCCAGUUAGGCCUUUCUCAGUGCUCCAUGGUGGACAGGUGCUAAGCAUGGCACAUAAAUGAAAAAAUGACAUGGCAGAACAAUUAAGAAGGAGAGAGAACACUUUGGUGACACCAGGAAGAACCAAUGCCAAGUACGUGAAUCUAGGCAAACCACUUAAAUGAAACAACUUGACCAAUAGAUGAAAGACUUUAGGUGCCAACUCAUUAAAUAAGGUGUGCUUAACAAAAGUUAAGCACCUAUGCAUUGAGGAGUUGAGUUGCUAAGGUAUUUAAUGCACUUAGCACCUCAUCCAAGCACCUUUGCAUUGGAGGAGGUCUUAGGAAGCUGGCACUCGCGCGCAUGCUGGCGGCCCGCGACCCAAUAUCACGCUAGCUUGCUCGCCCGCUAGUUUUUUUGUUUCUCUAAAAAAAGCUAGUUUAUUUUUUUUCUGAUAUUUUGUGAAAUUGGUCAGCCAAGAAAGAAAAACAGCCAGUUUUUCAUGGUACUUCUAAUUUUGUUGUGUAAUUUAAAACAUUUACAGAUUUAAAAAUAAUUCAUGAAUUUGAAAAAUAGAUCGUGAAUUUGAGAAACUUCAAGGAUUUGAAUAUAUGUUCUUGAAUUUGUGGAUUUGAAAAAAAGUUUAUGAAUAUGGACAAACUUCAUGAAUUCAAAAAAAUUAGCGGAUUUAAAUAAAUUUUCUUGAAUAUAUGAAUUUUCAAAACUUCACAAAUUUCAAAAAAAAAAUAAGGGAUUUGAAUAAAUGUCCACAAAUUUGUGGAUCUGGAGAAAGUUGAUGAAUUGGAAAAAUGACGAAUUAAAAAACGAUGAAUUUGGAAAAGGUUCAUAAAUUUUAAAAUGUUCAAAAAUUCGAAUUUUAAAAAGUCUGAAUUUUAAAAAUUCAUGAGUUUGAAAAAAAGUCAGGAAUUUCAAAAUUAUUGAUGAAAUCAAAUUUUAAAAAGUUCAUGAAUUAAAAAAUGAGUUUGAAAAAAGAUAAUGAAUUUGAAAUUGUUCAUCAGUUAAAAAUUUAAAAAUAACGAAUUUGGAAAAAUGUCUGCAAAUUUGAAAAUUGUUCCUAAUUUAGAAUUUUCUAAUUUUCAUGAAUUUGGAAAAAAAAUCUCAAAUUUGAUUUUUGCAAAUUCGGAUUCAUUUGUGUUUUCUAAAAAUGUUUCACGAAUUUUUAAAAUUCACAAUUUUAAAAAGAUCACAAAUUCAAAAUAAAGUUCAAGAAAAAUAAAAAUGAAAAAAUAUGCAAAAAAUGAAAAUGAAAGCGGAAAAGAAAAAUAAAAAAAC